ACUUGAUAGCUAGCUUCAGGUAUCUGGAAGGCUGUAUUCUAAAGAGGAAUCAGACUUGCUCUACUCGAGUUCCGAGGUGGAACUAGGAGCCAUAAGUGGGAGCUGAAAACAGGCAGAAUUAGACUUGAUCCAAGGAAGAGAUUUCUCCACAAUUAGUAUUGUCCAAAGUGGAGAAAGUGCUGACCCUUUCCCCUCAUUGGAGGAAUUAUCUUUAAACAAAGCCUGGCUGACUUCUUGUCCUGUGUGGUGUAGUGGGAGAUGCCUGGUAAAUUAGAGUUUGGAUUAGCUGGCUCCUGAGGGUCCUUUCAACUCAGAGAUUCUGUGAGAUUCUUUUCUUAAACAUAGGGAAAAAAAUGAAAUUUUGAUUGAUGGACUGGAAAUAAGUGUAUCCAAAAUCCGGACUGUGGGAGAAAAGAGAUUAGAUGGUAUGAAAAGCAAAAGAUUAAUGCAAAACCAUAAUGCUAAAGUGUUGGAUGUGCUUAAAAAAAUACAUAAUCCCCAUCCAACACAUUUGCACCUGGAUUAUUUCCAUGGAGCAUUUUGUCUUGGCCCAUGUCCUUGAGUAUGUGAAACGUGGCUUAUAAAAAUGAGUCCUUAACACUUCUUCCCAAGAAAGAAGAUUUCUUACUAAGUAAUGGGAAACUGGGAACUGAUCAUUCGGAAUCCUGAUUCAUAAGAAAUCGCUCUGUGCUGAUUUGACAUUCACCAUAUGAAUGCAAAUACAAACUGCCCCUGGGUAUCGGUCAUAUCCUAAAAAAUAAACCUCUCUGAAAAAAAAUUACGUGUGUAUGUGUAGCUCACAUUUACAUAUCAAUGUAAGGUUUGUGCCAUAUGGUCUCAUUGGAUCCUCACGAUGACCCUACAAGAUAGGCACCAUUAUUACACAUGAUGAAAUAGGUCAAGUGACUUGCUUAGGGGACAUCAGUAUCUGCAGUAGGGUUUGACCUCAGGUCUUCCUGACUCCAAAUCUAGCUAUCACUCACCAAACUCUGUGUAGGGGUGUGUGUGUGUGUGUGUAUGUGUGUGUGUGUGUGUGUGUGUGAGUGUGAGUGUGAGUGUGAAAAUCUGACCCUUUGAUGGAUCUCUACCUCCUCCCUUUCACCCUCAGAAGUAGAAUGGGAAUAGAGCUGGUUUUAGAGUCAGGAACAUGCCUGUGGGUUCAGGUGUUGCUUCUAAUCCAUAUUGAUUUUAAUACCUUGGGUAAGGCAUUGCCUUGGGGCCAACUUUCUAAAACUAGAAGUUUAACAUCAUUUACUAGUCUUUAUCAGUAGAGAGAGUUUCCACUUUAGGAAUUCUUUAUCUCAGUGAAAUCACAGGUCUAUCACCCUCUUCUAUUUCUACAUUCUUCCCCUUCCCCAAGUCACACUCAAAUUUUUAUACAAGCCAGUUUUGUGGAAAAUAUAUGGGCUAUAUUUGGACCAAUUUGGAAACCAUAAUUAGAACAGGCAAGAAACUCCUUACAGAAUUAGAUAUUCCUUUCAUGAGCAGAAUUCCUGGAAGAGGGUAGAUUAUUACAUUUCCAGACAUUUUUUCUUUUGCAUAUCACUCUAAAUAUGUGAAUAUAGAAACUAAGAGAUUUUGAAGGAAUAGCCAUUAAUAUAAACAGUAGUAACAAAUUCAAAACUUGAAUCGUUGCUAACACAGGGUAAAGACGAUGGCUGGGACAAUUCUGUUUUACUGUUAAAAUAUCCUUUCAUGUCUGUUAUUUCAUUUGAUCCUUAUAAUAACAACGCUUUGAUGUAGUGAGCCCUCCCUUGCCAGAUGAGGAAACCAACCUCCAAGCAGAGUGCUAGAGUGGAAACUAUGGGAAGUAGAGUUAGAUUACCUGGGUUCAGAUUCUGACUUUGCCACUUCUGACCCAUCUGACAGUGGACCAUUCACUUAUCGAAUUUCCUUACCUAUAAAAUGAAGACAUUGGAUUAGGUGAGCUCUAGAGGAUUUUCCAACAUAAUGAUAAUGGACAUUUAGAGCACUUUAAACCUUGCAAAGUCUUUUACAUACAUUAUCUCAUUUAAACCUUACAACAAGCCUAUGAGAAUAGUAUUACAACUGUUAUUCUGUCCAUUUGGCCAAAUAAGAAACUAAGGCGGUGGAGAUUUGCCUAUGGUAAAAUCAUAGCUAGUAACGGUCAGAAAGGUGGGAUUUGAAAUCAGGUAUUCCUGACUUCAAGUCUGGCAUUCUCACCCCAUAAUUCCUUCUCUAGGGUAUUACGGUAUAUCAUGGGGUUUUUUUUGUAUAAAAAAUAAGAACCCUAAAUUCCUAAUCACAGAUUCUUUGUGAAUACAAGUCACUUAUGAUCCCAGGGACAGAGUAAAUGUCUCCUCUGGCAUGGAUGAGAGGAUGACCCACUGGGAGCUGCCAUUGGGAAGAGUGACCUGAGUUGAAAGAUGAUCCAUUCUCAUUGAAAGUGGGUACACCAUAGCUCCUUAUACCAAUAGGGAAGCAGAGAAAUACAGAUGAUAUCAGCUCCUCCAAAGGUUUUGUUGAUUUAUCUUCUGUUAAUAACUACUUUUCUAAGCCUUCAUCUCACUUGGAUGUGGGGUUUGUGUGUGUGAGCUAUCAGAUGCAGCCUGUAAUUUAAUACUGUUCAUUACUCAUUAGGAGAGGCUCCUGGAUCUGCGUGGUAGGCGUCUCCCCUGAAUUCGCUUUUAAGAUGAGGAGACAAACCUAAACGUGAUUUGUAACCCUUUUUCAAGUCAUCAUAAUUAUUAAUUUGCUUCUCUGAAGCCUCUGAUUGGGCUAAGGUUUGGAAAAGCUGAGAAAUGUCGGACCACAGAGUUCUUCCUGUCUUCAAGUGGACAAACAUAGCCAACCAGAGUAUAAUGUUAGCUGUUUAUUAUCUUUAGAAAGAGAUCAAAACCCUAAAGGAGUUGUGAGUCUAGGGGAAAGAAAGGGAGGGGGGGCAAGAGGAUCUGUAAGAAGACUUCCCAGUCCUUGGAUUAAAUUGGUUUGUCUCCUAAAGAAGACUUUAAACAUUGACUUCAAAAAAUUAGUCUUUUGAUUCUUUUUGUUUACAUAAUAGUACUUUCCAGAUUACCCCUCUCAUCCAAACUAAUAACAGGCAUUUACUUUGUACCAGGAGCUAUGCCAAGCACUGUGGAAAAGUAAGACAAGUCAAAAGCAGUCCCUGCCCUCAAGGGGUUUACAUUCUAAUAGAAGAGACAACAUGGAAAUUAGUUGGUACAAACAAAGUACAUUCCUAGCAGAUAGGAGGGCAGAACUAGAGCAGAAGCUGCUGGAGUGUGUGGGAAAAGAAGACUGUACAGCUGAGUCUCAAAGAAAGUCAGCAAUUCUAAGGGGUGGAGGUGAGAAGGGAGAAUGAUUACAGACCACAAGAUGGAACAUCAGUAGGAAGCAACAUAAGUCAGUAUGGCUAGAACAAAGAAAAACAAUUAAAUAAAACCAAAAGAUAGAGAGAAUGUGAAAGCUUAUACACAUACUACACUCAGAAUUCUCUCCCUCCUGUCACUCAGGAAAGAAGAAUGGAGGUCAGGGUAGAGGAGUGGGGAGCAUUUCCUUAUUAUUUUCUACCCUGCCAAGAUUGGUCAUUAAUAUUAUACAGUGUUUGAUUUUUUCUCUAAUAAGCAUGCAUUAAGCAGUUACUUGGUACAAGACCCUGUGCUAGAUGCUGGGAUUAAAAACACAAAAAUAAAACUCUCUGCCCUCAAUAAGUUUACAAAUGUGAGCUCCUCAACUGAUCACACGUGCUUUGCUUCACUGUAAGCCGUUGUAUUUCCAGGACAAGGGGAUUUUCUUUCCUGGGGGCAUGUGAGUUUGGAGUUUUUUAUAUAUAAGUGAUGAAUGAAACCUCAAGUUGUAUCCAUGGUCAGGCUCUUCCCCUCUUUAAAAUUUAAUCUAACUCAACAUUUGUUGAGCAAGGAAUAAUGCUAGGGAUUGGGAAUAUGGGCAAAGGAGAAGUCCCUUCCCUCAAGAGCUUCUGUUCCCCUGGAGGGGGGGGUUAUCUAGCACAUAUACAGGCAAGUUAAAGCAAGAUAAUCUGAGGAGGGGGAAAGCACUCAGGGGAGGUGGGGGAGGAAAUGAUGGAAGGUUCCAUGUAGGAGUUUUCACCUCAACUUUACAUUGACGAAAGCUACAGAUUUCACAAGGUAGAGGUGAGGAAGAAUGUUCCAGGCAUGGGGAGCAGCUUGGAUAAGAGGCAGGAGAUGGAAUAUCUUGGAUGGGGAGGGGAGAGAGCCAGUGUAAAGGAAUGGAGCUGCAGUAUUGCUUUCAGGAAAGAAUCUACAGGUCAGUUUGGCUGAAGGUAGAGUGUAUGAGUGGGGAGCAAUGUGGAAUAUGUCUGGAAAUGCUUGAUUGAUGACUAAAAGGCAGAUUUAGCUUGAGAGAUGGUGGGGUCCCGCAGCUCAGUAAGAUUGGAGGUGACUUUAAAUGCCAAUGACCUGGCUUCAGGUAGCUAGCUAUCUUUCAACAACCUUAGUUCUCAACUCAGUGGCUGCUUUUUGCUCUAGAAAAAGGUGUCCAGCCCUUAUCUAAACGAGGGGCUCUAUGAUUCUGCUGUAGCUCCCCCAAAGUAAGUCUAGUUGAAGGGUUGCUUUUUGCAGUACAGUCCUUUUGAAAUUGUUCCCAGAAAGUGAGCUGCGUGAGAGUGCACUGGGUACGGGCUGUCUUUUUGUUGGGUGGGGUUAGAGGGGAAAGUGAAAAGAUGGCCUUGGAGUUGACUUCAGUAGUGGGACUUGUGGAACUGCAUCGAAGCCACAUACAGAGAGACUUUAACCUUCAGUAACCCCAAAUCAUAGAAAGUGCCUCUCCUUUGCCCCCAGACGGUUUAGAUUGAGAGUCCAUCCCGAGUUUGCCUUGAACUGUGUCCUCCUUUCACCCCAACUCCCCUGGCAAUCUUGCAUUGAUUUUUAAGGAUUAUUCCUCAAAGGGAUUUUUCUUUUUGGAAUUUUAAAUAUUUUCCUUGGAUGAUACCACCUAGAAUAUGCUCAGAAUCAGGGUAGUGUAUUUCUCCACUACUUUCAUUUAAGGUCUUCAUGGGAGAAUUUGGCCAACAAAAAGAUUUUGAGCACAGGUGACUUCCAUGGGCACGUAAGGACAUCAAGACUAAAGAAUAUCAUUUCUGUGGGAUGUUCAAGAUGAAUGGCAGGAUCAAGUAUUGAUAUCAGAAGAAGUUAUAGAAAUGUUCUCUGUUGUUUCUAUAGAAGGAUUAUUAUUUCUUUACGUCACCCAUCCUUAUCUAAUUGUCUCUAUCAGUAGUCAGUCAUGUUCAUAUUGAAUAGUCCCAGACGAGAGCCUCAAGGUCUUUCAAGAUCUUCUCAUGCCAGAAAAUAAGUUUUUAAUACCUGCUAACUGGACUAUAGGGGUACCAGAGCUAUAGCCUGGGGCAUAGUGUGGUGGGCACAGCAUCUCAAACUUGUCCCCCCUCAAUGUGUAGUGUUUGCCUUUUGUGUAUUAACACAAGUUACAUGGUCUCUCUUUAAAAGCUGAACGCAGUAGGAAAAAAUCUCAACUAUUUUGACUUGACCAGAGUCGUCGAUGUUAGAGAGAAAAUCUCUUGUGAUGAUCGUCCCAUUCUGGGCUCUGUUCUCCAUGACAUUCUGUCUGAUGUUUUUGAUGAAGUCGGUAUGUUCUUUCUUGCUGUCAGAGGGAUUAUGUGUGUGUUAACAUUUGUAGGUCUCCUUGAGUCUUAAAAAGCACAUACACAUAAGCCAGCUAUAGGAUUUCUGAACAAAAUCCUACUCUUCUACUGUGUACGUUGUUCAGAGAACCAUGUGGCCUUACUCUACAAAGGGUGGGACCCUAAAAGUGGUCCUGUUUAUUUACAGGCAUUUACAAAUUCUGAUUCAGAACAGCUCUUUUGUUUUUGAAUUUUGAAUCGAUUGUGUCUUAGAGAGAGCAUUUUUUUCCUAUUCCAUGGAAGAUUUAAAAAAAAAUUGGAAUACUUGGUUUUGUCAUUGAUGGGUUCCUUAAGAGUACUGAUACCUGGGUAUUUACUAUAUGAUUAUAAACAGAAAGUCAUGAUCAGAUUUGAGGUCAUUUGUAGAGGUUUGGUUACUCGUUAUCCUCCCUCCCUCUCUUCCCAGCAUGUGGAUAAUAACUCUGAGGGUUCAUGGAUCUUUAGAAAUGAUCUCUUUGGAACACAUUUUAAACAAAUUAGAAAUAUUAUUAUACAGUGGAAAGAAUAUUGGAUCUAAAAUCAGAGGCUCUGAGCAGCCCAGACUUUGCUCCUGUUCCUUGUAAAUUGUGUGACCGUAUCAAGUUCCAUAGCCUCUUUUAGCCUCAGUUUCCUCAUCUGUAAAAAUGAAGGGGGUGAACUCAGUGACUUUUAGUGUCCCUUCCAUCUCUAAGUCUAUAAUUCUGUCCCUCUACACUUAAGCAGUGGGCGAUGAGUGUUUAAGAAAGCCAUAAUCCCCCCCCUCCCUUUUUUUAUGCAGUCUGUGAGGUAGAAGUCAUUUUGUUCAUCUGGAGUCACCAUAAAUAAUAGCACCAAAUAUAAGAGGAAAAACUAGAGAAAUUGGUUGUUAAAACCCUGAAAUGAGAGCUCAGUGUUUGCUAAGGAAGAGAAGAUAUUGGUCACAUCUAUCUCAGAAGCACAUAGUUUUGGAAUUGGAAAGAGUCCUCAGAGUACAGCUAAUAAGUGGAUGGGAAUCCCUUCUACAUCACUCCUCAUGCCCCCACCCCACCCCACAACAAGUGGUCAUCCAAACUUUCCUUGAAGAUUUCCUUUUUUUUUUUUAACCUUUACUGUGUUUUGGUUCCAAGGCAGAAGAAUGGUAAGGGCUAGAUGAUGAGGGUCAAGUCACACAAUGAGGAAGUAUCUGAGGCCAGUUUUUACCUAGAACCUCUGGUCUUUAGGCUUUCAAUCCACCGAGUCACUUAGCUACUCCCAUUUCCUUAAAGAUUUUCAAGGAGAAGAGGUUAACUUAUUACCUUCUCAGGCAAACCCAUUUCCCUUCUGGAUAGCUCUAAUCUGUAGGAAGAAUUUCUUUCCAUCUAUUAUCAAAUGGUACCUUUUGUGUGGGGGUGGGUGACUACUAUAUGAAUGACAUUCAUGGCUUAGUAAGUGGACAGAUAACCAGCCUUGGUGUGAGGAAGAUGUAGAUUCAAGUCCUGCCUCUUGACCCAGGCUAGCUUUGUGACGCUGGGCAAGCGUCCUUUCAUCUCAAUGCCCAGUGCGACGCGCUAAGACUAUUCCUUGUUGCAGUUGUAUGCUGGCGGAGGGUUAUUAUGCUGAUAAGAGACCAGGGCAACUCCAAAGAAAGGUACAAAAAUCCCAGCCUUUUACAAAUCGAAGCCAGCCCUUCAGAUGCUUGAAGACCACUCUCAUGGCCUCUGGACCAUAUCUUCUCUUUGCCAGGUUAAGCACCUCUUAGCUCUUCAGCUGAGCCCUCAUGCUUGAAGCUGCCCUUCUCUACAUUCUCUAGGUUAUUAAUGUUCCACAUUCCAUUUACACUGUGUAUGUCUUAUAUAUACAGUUUUGAGGACAAGGACAGUGUUUUUGCCUUUCUCUGUGUCUCUAGCACUUAACAUGGUGCCUGGUAUAUAGUAAGUGAAGAAUAAAUACUUGUUGACAGAUGAGUGACUUCCUAAAGCUCUGGCAUAUUGUCUAAUGCACAUUAAGGAUUGUAAAAUGGGAAAGGUUAGACAAGGGAUUCUUCACUUGGGGCUUGUGAACUUGCUAAUAUUUUAAAAAAUAUUUUAUUUUCCCAAUUAUGCACGAUAAAAAUGUUUAACUUGUGCUUUCUUAAAUUUAUAAGAUUCAAAUCACCCCCUUCCUUCCCUUCUCUCCUGGAGAUGGUAAGCAGUUUUAUCUGGGUUAUACAUGUAUUAUCAUGUAAAACAGAUUUCCAUAUUGGUUGUUGAUGUAAGAGAAUGUCAUAUAAAGCCAACCCCCCAAAUAAAAGCACAAAUAAGCUUAAGUGAAAAAUCAUAUGCAUUGAUCUACAUUCUGAUUCAAAUACUUCUUUUUCUGGAGGUGGAUAGUAUAUUCUUUAUCAAUAAGUCCUUGGUCACAUCUAUCCCAGAAGCACAAAGUUUUAGAAUUGAAAAGAGUCCUCAGAAGCUCUCCAGUGUAGCCAAUAAGUGGAUGGGAAUUCCUUCUACAUCACUAUCCAUGCCUCCACCUCACCCUCUGACAUAUUGUCUAAUGAACAUUGUUGUAUUAUUGAGAAUAGCAAAGUCUGUCACAGUUGAUUAUUCCACAGUAUUUCAGUUACUGUGUAUAAUGUUUUCCUGGUUCUGCUUAUCUCACUCUGCAUCAGUUCACAUAGAUCUUACCAGCUUUUUCUGAAAUCAUACUGCUCAUCAUUUCUUGUAGCACAGUAGUAAUUCAUCACCAUCAUAUACCGCAAUUUGUUCAGCCAUUCCCCUGUUGAUGGACAUCCUAUCAAUUUCCAAUUUUUUUGCCAGCACAAAAAGGGCUGCCAUAAAUAUUUUUGUACAAGUAGUUACCUUUCUCUUAAUUUGUUAAUAUUUUUAAAAAUAUUUGGAUAACUACUUCAAAACAGUUGGUUUUCUUUAUAAUCCUAAAUCUGUGCCUUUAAAAAUAUUAUUCUGAGGAAGGGUCUAUAGGUUCUAAGACACUGCCAAAGGGACCCAUGGUUCAUGAAACCUUAAAAACCCCAUGGUUGGUAGACCAAGCCUUUAAUUCAAUGAGACUAUUCCAAAAAGAAUUCACUCUUCCAGAAGAUGAUGCUGGUAGUCAAAGUCUAUGCCAAGGAUGCCUGCAAGAUGGAGGGGACUAUUCUUUGGAAGGUGAGGUACAAAAACAACCCAGAAGUGCUACUCAUUUUUCAUCAUGGCGUAUCCUGUGACUUCUUGCAAGAAGGUUACUCAUUCCAUUUGGCAAGCAGUGUUUAGGUUCCCUAAAUGCUUACUGUACUUUGAGUUGAGUACAGUAUGAUUCACUUCCUGUCUUCUAGAGUAUUAAGCAGCUAUGUUGUUCUGACCCUAAUGAAGUGACAGCUGACUGGGGCUGCUGGAUAUGGCAGCUUUUGAAAUUGUGGAAUUGAGAACUGAGUUCAGAGUGACCAUCUCCUUAUGGCCGAUUCCAGAGAAAAAUGGCGCCAGAUGAUCCCACACUCAGCUAGGUGUCCUUUGGCAGCCAGGUGUUGUUCAUGGGAAGAACAUGGCUCAGAGACUUGGGAGAGCCGGGCCGUUUUAAAGCUCGGUCACUAACUGGCUAGUGGUGCAUCCUCACUGGACUUUUCCCUAUAAAAUGAUAGAUUUGGACCAGAUGAACUUUUUGUUCUCUGGCUAUCGCUCUGCCUUGUGGUUCUUCUACUGGGACAUCAGAAAAAAACAAAACAAAACACAAAAAGCUCUUGCUUUUUGGUGACUUUUAAUGACCGUGAAAAAUUUCACGUAAAUUGAACAUUUCCUCUGGGUGUAUAAUUCUCUUGCCAUGGCAUCUCCUGAAGUGGUGCUAGCGUCAGCUUACGUAGGAUCAGCUGGGGAAUCUCUUUAGGAACUCCUCUUUUUUUCUGGAUCUGUCAGAGGGAGGCUCCUGCCUGUGCUCCAUGAUGUCAAGUCCUUUAGACACUCCUCAUUUUUCACUUGCUCCAUUUUGCAUGCAUCCCAUCAUUUGAUUGACUUGAAGCCAUUCAUUCAGAAUUUGUGUUAAGCAGGAAAAGGGGUAUAGGGCUUUGCACUAUAUUAUGAAAAAGAAUUCUUAGUAGGUAAAUUAACAACAUAAACAAUAUUUCAAGGGGGAGUGAGGAUAUUAAAUCUACUUAAGAGAGCAAACUGUUUUAAGCACCUUAGAAAAACUCCUUCACACAGAAACCAUUAAUAUGCUAAUUAUAAAUAAUUUUUUCUAUUCAUUAAAGCAGGGUCCCUGAAGGACCUCUAUUUAGCAAUACUUUGUUAGGUAGGUGCAAUUAUGUCCUUGAAAACAAUAAAAGUCUAUUAAAAAAAAGAAACCCGCCAAUCCAUACUUUUCACUAAUUUUUGUGGGCCUCUCUGAAUUUGUCUGAGUUGGUAAGGCUCUUCUAGGUUUAAAUUGGCACCUAUGAUAGUAUUAUCAGUAGCUUUCUGCAUUUCUGCAUCUGUGUGCUUAUUACAUUCCAAAUCAGAAAGGGUAAUUAUUUGCAUUAUAAAAAGAUUCUUUACAUAAGGAUUCAACUCAAGGGUCCUCCAAAAAGCAAGUUCUCCUCAUUGUGUUUAAAGCAAGAAUUGUGGCAAAAUUUAUAAUUUAGACCUAGCUUCUCAGGAAGUGCCACAGUCAAUCAAAUGAGGCCCACUCUGACUUAGGUAAAUGGAUAUGUAAUAUGAAGGAAUGUAUUUUUUUAUUGUUGCACAUUUUAGUACAACUCAUAUGGAGCAUUAAUAUAAUCAAGGAAACUUGCAACAAUUGUCUACUUCUAAAUUAAUAACGAAUGUCAAAUUAAUUAAUAUUAAUUCAUAAUAAAAACUAAAUUAAUAUUAAUAUUUACUUUGUCCAAGUCCUCAUUAGGACUCUUUUAUUCUUUCAUUUUCAUUGACUUUUCGUCUUUAUAUGGGCAUAGUUUGUAUUCUUGAUCUGUUUUUUUUCUUUUUCUUUUUGCUUUGUAUCAUUUCAUCAAGAUCUUUCCAGACUUAGUUGAAUUUUUUUGGUUUUGUUUUGUUUUAAAGGCAUUAUAGUUUUCCUUUGCAUUAUUCUAUCAUGAUUUGUUUAACUCUUCCCCCAUUGUUAGAUGUUUGAGUUUCUUCUGGAUUUUUUGUUUGUUUGCAAUUACAUGUAAUGCUGCUGUGCAAAUAACAAUUCUUCUUCUGUUGCUGCGGAUAACUUCAUUGAUCAUAGAAUUAUAGAUUUAGAACUUGGAGAGAUCUUGAGGACCAUCAAGUCUAAUCCCAGCAUUUUACUGAAUAAGAAAUUGAAACCCAGAGAGAUUAAGUUGCUUCCUUAGGAUCUCACAGCUUGGAAGUAUCCAAGACAGGCUUGGGUCUCCCUGAUUUCAAGCAUUAGUGCUCUAUCCACCUUGCAACCUAAAUCCUUCUUUCACGGUAUAUUCCCAAUAAUAGACUUAAUGUAUUAAAUCAUCAUAUUAUUUUUUUAAAUUUUAUGUUCUACUCCGAGAUUGUUCUCCAGGAGGAUUCCUCAAGUUUUGAAUUCCAUUAGCAAUGCACAAGUAUACUUUCUUUUUCUCUACAAUUCCACAAAGCCCUGAGGUUUGUAACUUUUAAUUAUUUUUUGCCAAUAUGAUGAGUGUGAAGUGCUAUCUCAUAGGACUUUUAAUUUGCUUCUCUUUGCUUUUUUAGGGAAGUUGAGCAUUUUUCAUCAUUAUUAAUAAUUUGUAUUUCCUCUUUUGGAAAUUGUCCAUUUAUAUAAUUUGAUUCAUUAUGAAUGGCUUCUUAUUAAUGAUUUCAUGAUUUUAGGCUCCUCAAGAAACGUGUGCCUAUACUUCUGAAAGAGCUCAUCAAUUUUUAAAUUAUUUCUACAUCCCAACAAAAUUCUAGCACAUAGUACAAAGGGCAUUUCAUUGACCUAUCUUAUACUGGGUUUGGAAUUUUGCCCUUACCAACUUUAAUUAUUAUGCAUAUAUGCUUGCUUUGAACAUAAUAAAGUUGAAAACACCUGACAUUUACCUCGUGUUUUAACUUUUCUUAUUUCACUUGGUGAUGAUUUUCUUUAAAAAUAAAAAAAAAUUCCUUGGCACCAGGAACCUCUAUCUGUGGUAUUUGCCUAAAAGUAAGAAUUUAUGGUGGGAACAUAGGGGUUAAAUGGUUUUUUUUGAGUUACAGAAAAAAGAAGAAACCAUAAGACAUUUUAAAUGAAAUUUAUGAUUGUUUAGGGUUAUAAAUAACUCAAAAGUAGUGCUAACUCAUGUGUGGAAGGCUAUGUGGAACAAAAUCUUUCAGUAGAAAAGGUAAUGAAGUGGAAAAGUAAUUACAAAUUAUUUUAUACAUUUAUAUAAGGCAAAAGUUUACCAUAUUUCCAUCAAUAUCAUGAGGCAUUGCUUCAACAUUAGGCUGUUUGAUAUGUAAGCUUGAGACUUUUCCUUUAUUUAGUUGUUGCCCUUAGAAGCAGAGCUGUAACUAGAAGUGCCAGAAUUUGGAGUGAAGGUCGACAUGAGAUAAGAUGGUCUACACUGAUGGACUGAAGUUGUUCUUGGCAGAGGCAAAUCAUACCCUAGAAAACCAUCCUCUUUGGAGAGGCAGCAAGAAAGGUGUAUAGCGAUGAUGGGAGGGUAGGUGAACUAUGAUGGUUGAACCCUUGGUAGCUGGCCAAGGUCAUAUGAGGGACUGGGCGGAUUGCAUUUUGGAUACAGGAAGUUUGUGAAGGACUUUGACAUACCAAAACAUUGGGCUGGAGAACAGCCAAUUUGGGAGAAUGUGGAUCCCACAAAUGUUGGCACCCUGAGACAAAGUUACACCGUCUUUAGUUAUAACUUUGCUAAGAAACUUAGCAGUUGUUCAUGCCCACUUUUAAGCAACUUUAUUUUGUAUUAAAAAUUAAAUGUAAUUUGAACAAACAUUUAUUAAGUAUCUACUGUAUGGAAAGCACCAUGUAGGGAGAUGCUGACCUCAAAACGAAAACCUCCAUCCUCAAGGAGCUAACAUUCCACUGAUGUGAUAUAGUAUGUGCAAAUAGGCAAAGACUAAGUAAUUUUGGCAGAGACUACUAGUAAUGGGGGGGGAUUAGGAAAGUUACAUGAGGUGGCACGUGAAUUGAGCCUUGAAGGAUGUUGGGGAUUCUAAGAGACAGUAGGACCAGCCUGAACCCAGGCACAGAAUUGGAAUUCUAAAUUAGGGCAAGAGCUAGUAGGCUAUUUCAGCAGGCAGGGCAAGUAUGUAGAGGGAGACUAUGCAAAACAAGUCAGAAAAGGUAGAUUAGAGCUAGUUUGUGAAGGGCUUUAAACGCUGGCUUGAAGUUUUUGUAUUUUAUCCUAUAAGCAAAGACACAGUGGGUGGAAAAAAAUGCAUCUAUAUUAUUUCCAGGAUGAUUUGAGAGCAUGUGGAGGAAAGGGAUGUAGGAGGAAGAAGGAAGAAAUGUUUUAUUUGGGAGCCUAAAUAUGAAAUGGGUUUGUAUGCUGUAUGUUGAACAUUAUGACUGCCUACGGCCGAGUAAUUACGUGUCCCAAAUUGAACUCAUAGGUAGCAUAUGGAUGUAGUAACACAGUCACCAUUUUGAUUAGGUUAAACCUCUACGCCAGCUGAAGAAAAAAGAAGUUGUAGCUUGCUACUUCUGAAUAUGUUAAAUCGGAACAAAGAAUAACAUAAAAAACCGAACGUUCUCUUCCCAACAUGGAGGCCAAGAUUUAUGGUUAUCGCUUCAGUUCUUUCUUUGACUUACUUUAGAUCCAAGAUUACCAACCUUGCUUGAUCUCCCAGUAUAAUAAAAGCUCUUCCAGGAUAGGGAUUGCUGUUCCUUUUGUCUGUACUUCUGGCUCUUGGUACAAUAUAGUUGCACUUGUUAGGUGCUUAAAUAAGUCCUGGUCCAUCAUAGAAGAUCUUGCCUCAAGUCUCUCUCCACUCCAGUUCCUCUACUCAACUGCCAAAGUGAUUUUCCUAAAACUCUUCCACUCUCCCGUUCUCCAUUUGAGUGGAGGCCAAUGGAGCCUUAAGCUAGUCUUCAGUUCCCAGGGAUCUCUGAAGCAGAGAGCCUUCUUCACUAGUCUAAACUCUGUCCAAGAGGCUCUGAGAGCCAGAGUGGAUCAUGAACCAUAUGUUAUUCAUCUUUGUUUUGGAUCAUUUGGAAAGUUGCUCACUGUUAAGUGCCUCAUUUUCCUUUUUUGCAGAAUUCUUCUUUUUCUACUUCCCAGGGAAGUUGUACCAAUUAUUUAUAAAGCACUUAGAUGAAAUCUCACCUCAAAACUGUACAAGAAGCUAGUUUCCAGGCAACUUUCUUACUAGGCAACUGUGUGAGCUAUAAUAUAGGAUUAUUAAGAAUUAACAUGGGAAGAGGGUUCACUUCCUACCACCUCAUCUAUUCCCUGAUGAUGCCUCUGGUGACUCUGGGAAGGUCCUUAUUUUCUCUGCUGACAACCAUGGAUUGUUUUCAGUUUUGUUUAGUUUUUGAUUUGGGGAACUGACCUCCCUCUCUGUCUUCUAGACUAGACAUGUAGUGUCUCUUCAUAAGCCUGGUUGCAGAACUAAUCAUCAUGGGAGCUUUAACUUGCUUUGUUUUUUCCACCUGGGCUGGUAGCUUCUCCUCCCAAGUUCUUAGCAUAUUGGAAGGAAAGAAGAAAGGAGAGAUGGAGGGGAAAAAGGAAAGAAGGAAAAGGGGAAGGAGGGAGAAGAUAAGCAUUUAUUCUUUGCCAGGCACUGUGCUACUAGUUUUACAAAAUAUUAUCUCAGUUGCUCUUUAUAACAACUCUGGGAAGACUUUUUAAAAAUAUAUGAUUUAGUUUAUAUUUUUAUUUUUAUAUACAAUUUGGUUUAUUUUUUAAAAGCAAGGUAUUUACCAAUUUUUUCUUUAUGCACAUUAAAAAAUAUUGAAUCCUUUGGUAUUACAGUAGUAGUCUGCCCCACACUUACUGUAGACACACAGUUGUCCUGGCAUAUUGCAGCUCCAAAUUCCCAGACACAAGUAAUUUACCAGCCUCAGCAUCCUCAGCAGCAGGAACUCCAGGUGUGUGGCACCAUGAAGGGCACUGCUGUAGAUUCAGAUCCCCUUGCCUGUGUGCUCACUUCUCUGCAGCUCUGGCUAACAUGUUAGUCCUAGAAGUCUAACAUCAGCCUAGCUGUGUGUAUAAGGGUGGGAGGGAGGAGGAGGAGGAGGAGGAGAAGAAAGAGGAGGGAAAGAGGCAUCUUCUUUAGUUUCCCUACCUUGCUCCCCUCCUGGGUUCAGGAGGUGUGAUGGAUGGCGAUAUCAGCAGAUUCCAAGCCUAGAAGAAAUGGGAUGCUAAAUGCCAUGACCCCCCAUUUAGAACUCUGGUCCUGACUCCAAAUGGAGACAUUGCUCUCCUUCAGCUCCAUAGGUAGCAUUCUUUUUGCUGUUGCCUAGGAAACUUAACAGUGCCUGGCACACAGUAUGCACUUAAUAAAUGCCUGCUGAUUGACUGUUACCUAGCACAAGGACACGAAUGCCAGGUUUAGUUAUUAGGAGGGUAACAUUGUGCUGAUGGAAAAAAUAUGACUUGGAAAGAGGAAGCUAGGUUCCAAUCUGAGCUCAGAGGUAUACCACCCGUGUGACCAUGGACUGACUGGUGUUGCCCUUCUGAGCCUCAGUUUCCUUAUCCAGAAAAGGAAAAUAGUAAUCACUGAAGUAUUGAAGUCAUGGGUUUUUCACCAGACAAUGUGUAUAAAGUUGUAUGUGAACCUCAGUUACGAUUAUUAUAUGCAAUGCAUGAACAAAGAAGACCCUUUUGGUGGCAGGAGAUCAUUCCUUUGGAAACAGCAAUGAGGUAAGGCAGUGUGACUGCACAGAAAAGCAGAUGAGGAAGGCAGGAAGCCAGUAAACUCCAUGUAGAUCGUAGCAGGUAUAGGAAAGCUUCAAGUCGACACUCAGGUCCUCCGCUAGUCUUGGAAUUGGGGUAGGAAUGACCAGCGAUAACGAUGGGUUCCAGCAACAAACAAUACAGGAAAUUCCAGGCAGUUGGACAGCCAGUAUCAGGGAGGUCCCUCAGUGGGCAGCAUGUUGGCAAAGCGUAUCGCAGGGGUCUAGAGCCACAUUGUAAUAGUGGAAGUUUAGGGAGGCCAGAGAAUGGUCUUGGAGAAGUUUGGCAGCAAGCAGGUGGCCUUAGUAUAGAAACUUGGCAUUAUGGAUUCAGGUAAAUCAUUAUGCCAAAGAAGAAAGAUGGGGGGCAGAGAUGGAGAAAUAAACCUGUGAUUUCAUUAGUAUAGAGAGCCCUCUUUGAGCAAACUGCAUCUACCAGUGCCUUCUUUGAAAUUUUAUACUAUUAAAGAAUUGGCUUAGAGUGUGACAGAUUGUGACUUGCCCAGGGUCAUACAACUUCUAUGUAUCAAAGAAGCAGUAUGCUAUUCUAGGGGUGAAUAAUAAUAUUAGCGUUAUUACGGCAGGGACCCAGUCAUCUUGGAAUACUAAAGCUCAGACAGAAUUCCCAGACAUAGGUAAAUCAGCAGCCUCAACUUCAUUAGCAGCAGGGACUCCAGGUGUGUGGCACCAUGAUGGGGACCACCACAGACACAUAUUUAUCUCUUUAAGGUUUGCAAAGCACCUUUCAAAUAUUAUCUCAUUGGAUCGUCAAAAUAACUGUAUGAGGUAAGUAUACUCUUAUUACAGCCCCCCCUUUUUACAGAUGAGUAAACUGAGAUAGGAGUUAAGUGACUUAGCCAGAGUCACACAGUUAAUAAGUGUCUGAGGCUGCAUUUGAACUCAGGUCUUCUUGACUCCAGGCUCAAGUAACCCUCCAGCCCAAGUUUGUGCUGUCAUACUAUGGCUUUCUUUUCUCUUCCAUCAAGGUGAGCUAUCCUGUCUUGUGAAACCCAAUGGGGAAGUAGAACUGAGCAUUUGUUGACUCUUCCCCAUGUUGCUUUGUGGUCUGGGAUGGCCAACCUGAAACGGACAGAGAUUAGAGACUGAAAUGUAUUCCCAGGAUAGUGCUAACUCUCUGAUGCCAUUAAAAAACAAAAACAAAAAAACCCGAGACCAGGUACUUUGAAAAUAGGCAUCUUUAAGGCAAAGUUUUUGACAAUUUUAAGAUAAAAUCUGCAAAAGAGCUAUAAACCCCCCCCCCCGAAAGAUUUGGAGAACUAGAUCAAAACAGGUUUCUGAAUGAUCCAUUCUUUUGUAGUAUUUGCUUCCCUCAACAGGACUUGUGAUAUUGUGUGACAGAGUUGUCCAGGCUUCAGUUUCCAUCUUCUUCUAAAUGUAAUAAAUAUCUGCUGUCUCAAAUGUGAUUCCCAAAGUGGGGCAGCUUGAUCCCCACCCAGGUUACUAGAAUUAAGGUCCCUUAUACCUCUAAGUUUAUGAUGCCAUAUGAAAUUUAUUCAUUUCAAGUUUUUUACUCUACUUUUUGUUGUGGUCCCUAUCUGUGAUUUCACUAGAAUGAGGGAUUCCUGGCAUGGAAAUUCCAUUUGCAGUUUAGAUGGGCAACGCAACUCAUUCAUAACUCAGGGUCUUAGAAAACUGCCAUGGGACAUUGAUAAGUUAAGUGAUUUUAUUGGGGUUACUCAAUCAGAAUGUGUUAGAGGAAGCAUUUGAACCAAGGUCUUCCUAACUCCAAAGCCAGCUCUCUAUGGAGAUCCCCUGCUGCCAUUUAAUGAGUGCACAUGGAUCUUAAGUAGAGUCGGUGCUCAAAAAAUAAAUGCAUUUUAAAAAAUUGGAUUGAGAGAAGUAUUUACUUGAACAUGGGAAGUCUUAGAUUUACAGGAUUCUUCUUUCCUGACUGGACUUGAGAAUUCCCUCGACAAUGGGCACUUGAUAAUUAGAGCUUCCUAGCCCUAUUUUAUUAAGAUGAAAGAAAUAAAAUAAACACAGACUUGGACUCCAUCACUAUUAUCAAGUAGGGAAAACCAAAAACAUAAUUAAGUAAAAUCAGGAGGGAAUUCAAGGGAAUGACCCAGAAAGGAGCAAGGAGCCUGUAGCUCUAAAUCUUAUGAAAUUGACCAAAGAUAGAAGGGAAACCUUAAAACACCCACCCACAAAUCCACACCAGCACCCACACACCCCUUAAAUUGAGUAGAGUAAAUACUUAAUGCAAGGAAGCUCUUUGCCCAUGGAAUGCCAAACUCCCAGUUAUUUGGAAACUCUAGAGAGGUUGUGUCCUUAUGAAGCUAUGUUUGAAUGACUCCUUUAAAAAGUUAUUAAGGAACAAUUGCCUAAUACUCAUGAUCCCCUGUGUUCUCUGCCUAAUCUCAGGAUGUGCUAAUGAGCAAAGCAACGAUCAGAAAUGAUCCCAUAAAAGAGGAUAGAGAACCAAAGGGCCUGAGCACCAGCCGUGGAUUACAUUGUUCAAGCUUCUGGAUAACUUUUCUGAUUUUAAACAUUGUGUAUUAUAACAUCAGUGAAUCAUUAUAAGUAAGACACAGGGAGCUUGAUAAUGGAAACACUUGAUAACAGAAAGAUACUAUGGAAAGACUGCUGACUCUGGAAAUCAAAGGAUCCACGUUUGAAUCCUGUCAGUUACUUACUAUCUAUUUCAUAGUGUUGGGCAAAGCACUUAACUUGCCUCAGGUUCUUCACCUGAGUUGCAGAUAGAGCAGUGUAGGCUAAGUGACCAGUAAGUUCCCUCACACCUCUAAGUUUGUGAUCUGAUGAUACUGAUUCAUUUCAACAAGCAAUUUAAAGGUAGGGAUGCAGAAACUAAAAUGAAACAAUUCCUGCCUUCAAGGAGCUUGCAUUCUAAAUUCAUGACAUCUUGACUUGAGCUCCUUAAAUGUUCUGCCAUUUUAAUUGUACUUAAUAAGAAAAAUGCUAUAUCAAUCUCAAUAUAAAAUUUAUUUUUUGUCAUGUGUUUUUUUUGUCACAUAUGCUUAUAGAUCAGAGACAAAGUUCCAGGAUUAUCAUAUUUAUCUUUGCUUCUCUCACAGGGUCUUAAGAGAGUGAUGAUUUUAUUGGCGACCUGGUAGGGAAGAUUCUAGAUCAGGUAUGGUUGGGGCUAGAUGAUUUCUGUGAUCCUUUACAAUUUGAAGAUUCUGUAAUUCCACAAUAGGAACUUAAUAAAUAUGUGAAUAAAUAAAUUAUUGCUGUUCCACUUUUGGCAAGUCACAUCUCUAUGUGCUCAGUUUCCUCAUGUAAGCCCAUAAGUGUAAAAUGCAUUUUCUUCAUUAGGAUUAUUUUAUGUAUUGGUUGCACGGGCCAGAUUUCUUCUUGACUUAAAUAGUGUUUAUUCUGUGAAACUCAGGCUCUGGAUUCUUUUCAGUGGGUAAAUGAUGGGCUAUGGAAUUGCCAUCAAGAGGAAAGUAAAGGAAAGAACAUGAAUCAUGCAACCAUGGGAAAAUAUUCCAAAUUAAUUAAUUAAAUAUUUUUUUUUAAAGAGGAAAGCAAAGGAUGUAGGUUUGGGAUUAUUUUGCAGCAUCUCCCCCGGCUGAUUUACCUUUGGGGCUCCCUUUUAAAGACAACAUGACUUUUCCCUCUCCCUUUUCAUCUCAGUGGCUCAGGCAGCCUUUUCCCUUAGAAACUUUUUUAUGAAAACCUUUUCUGAUAUGAGAUUUACCCUUCCAGAAUUGUGUGCCAGGGGUUUUCUCAAGGGAAAAUGAUGAGAGGUUCUGAAUCCCCAGAGUAGGACAACCAGCUGGUUGGCAUUCCUUCUUCCGAUCCAAAUAUUGCGGCAUGCAGGUUGGGGAGGAGUAUUUGAAAAGGGAACUGUGGGAAUGUCUGCCUGUCACCAGCAUUCAUUUAUUCCUGAUGAUCAUCUCGUUUGGUUUGAACUGGCAUGCUGUUUAAUGUGGCAGGGACAGCCGCAUGCAGGAUUGCUUGUGAUAAUUUUUCCUGGGAAGAUUGUCACCUGGGGAGGGGCGGGCAGGGAGAUGAGGCAGUGGGGGAAGGGAGAUGGUAGGGAGUGCUCUUGGAACCAGUGGACAUAGAGAGAAUGAGCUCCGUCCUUUUCUCCACCCCAAACCAGAAGAACCUGGAGUGAUGAUCCCUGAACGAGAGAGAUUUGUAUUUAUCCCUCUGCCUGUUUGGUACAUUCCUCAGCUUCUGAUUAGUCCUUUAAUACUGCAAAGGGACAGUUUACUCACAUUCUGCUACAUUUUUAUACCAGUCACAGUCCUUCUUUCUGCCCCCUCCUCUUAUCAACCUCCCCCUCCUUUCCCCUCACUCCAUUCCACAUAAGGUUUCUUUGAGUUUUCUCAAAGCAGCCAUGUGAGAGGAAUAAAAUAAUUUUGAAGAGCAUUAUAUGGUGAGAAUUUUGACAAUGAGUAGAAGAUUGUAAUUACUCUCUUCCAUUAGACUCAGUGGCUUUGGACAGAUAAGCUGUAUUGAAACGUGUGACCAGGGCAUGGGAUCAUGGAUUGUCUUUCACUGUUGUCAUGGCGACAGUGAUGCAGGUGGCCUGUAACUGCCUGGCUGUCAGAUCUUAUACAUCAAGCGGGUGCUAAGUGAAAAUAUGUUAGAGGCAUUGGGGGAAAAAAUCGCCAGCAGUGUUUAGAGGAUCAACUGGAGAAAAGCUAGCCUAGUUUAAGAAAGGUUUUCUGUUAAAAGCUUCCAGCGACUUGGAAGGAGUUCGAGCCCUAGCUUUUUCUGCAUAUAAUCAGGAGAGGUUUUAAAAAGAAAAUUUUGUUUCUGGAGAUAGUCGUUCGUUCUCUCGGUGUAUCAGUAAUGAGCACCUCCUCCCCUCAUCCUCCCUUCCCCACCCCACCCCCUUCCUUUUUCAUGGCUAACAGGAGAAGAUUGUGACUUUGGAAGAGCCAAGGAGAGAGAGGCACGUUCUUGGACCGUGGUUUGGGGGGUCACACUUUGGGGUACAGAAACGGAAAUAGCCGUGAAUCCAUUCUCUUUCCACCUGGCAAUAUAGCCUCGUACUAUAUUAAGAGAGGCAGAUGUUUUGGUAUGGAGGAGAUGCUAACUCGGAUUUCCUGGGCCCUGGUGGGAAUGGAGCCAGAAUAUUUUGAUCCUUUGUGGGUACCAUGUUUGGGAAGGACAUUUACAAAGUAGGGAAGAUGGGGAAGGAAGCAAUCAAAAUGGGGGAACUAUGUCAUCUAUGGAGUUUGGUGGGAAUAGUUAGCCUAAGAAAGAGAAAGGGGGGACCUGCUAGAUGAUUUCAAGUUUUGGAAGUACUGCCAGGUGGGGAGAGGAAUUAGAUUUAUUUUACUUGGCUACAGAGGUCAGAAAUGGGUUGAAAUGUUAGAGGGUCAGCUUUUUGCUCAAUCUAAAGGAAAUUUCCCAAUACUUAGAGCAAUUGCAGAGUGGAACGAUGAACAGUUGUAGGGUCAUAGAUCUAGAGCUGGGAGGGACCUGAGAGAUCACGUAAUCCACUCUCCUUGUAUUAUAAAUGAGGAAAUUGAGGCCCCAGGAGGAUAAGUGACUUACUGAAGAUCACACAGUUAAUAAGCAAUAGAAGCAAGAUUUGAUCCCGGGGCCAUUGACUCUAAAUGAGUGAUAUUUUCACUAGACCACAUGCGUUUCUACUAUUUAGAGAUUUUUAAGAUGUGCACUUGGCGAGACUGUGCCAGAAAGUAGUCUGUAAGAACCUCUGUUCUGGAGCUAAUUGGACUCGGUGGUUCCUGAAGUCCCUUCCAAAAAUGAGAUUCUGUGAAGUAGGAAGAGAUUAGUAUAAUGUUGCUUCUUGACUGAACAUUGUGCUCAGAAAUGCACUUAGAUUAAAGAAUGGAGACCCCAUUCUGCCCAUCAGGUUAAAUUUGAUUGAAGGCAGGAAGAAGCUGUAUUGAUGAGGAGGUUAUGGUUUAAAAAAAAACAACAGCUCAAAUUUAAAAAUGAAGCCCUGCUAUUGCAGGUAGAGAGAACAACGUAAGCACAACAAAGACUCUGAGAAUGAAAUGGGAGAUUGAGGAUUCAAUACCUAGAAUAGUCUGGUUGGAAAAGAGAGUUUCUCCUUCAGAUAAAGCUGGAGUAGAGACAAAUUAUGAAGUGCCUUCUGUGUCUGACUAUGAAGGUAGAACUUUAUCCUGGAGGCAAUGAGGAGCUAGAGGGGUGCUUGGGGGAGAGACAGACAAAAUCUUGUUUGAAGAAGGUUAACCUGGUUAUGUAAAUCUUUAUAGAAAUAUUGUCCUUCCUCGCUAGUGUCAGAUUAUAAACUCCUUGAAGGCAGGGACCAAACUACCAAUAGUGCCUAUUAUUUUCCUCUAUACAUAGUGAACUCUCAAUAGAUGUGACUGAUUUGUGAACUGGAAAAUGAAUAACUCGUUAGUGCUAAUUUUAAGCAUCGCUAUACCUUUGGGGGAUGCAGGUAGGACUUUUCCCUAAAGAAUUAAAAAGUGAUUGUAUAAUCCUCAUUUAUCUUGUUUGGAGAGAGAGCUUGGAAUCCUAAUGCUGCCCCUUAGACUGAGUUAGUGGUGUCAUAGAAUGCCCAUAAUCUGACAUAAGGACCAUAUUCAUGGUUGGCUUUCUUCCACAGGCUUACUGAAAGCUAUGUGGAGAUAGAAAGAGAUUAGUUAUCUCAAGAUGACCUUAAGUAAUCAUAGUUAUUCCGCAUGGCGCCACGGUCCCCCAAAUGUCCUAAGUCACAGACCUGUACCAGGAGUUUAUUCUAUGCAGAUUGACAGUUCUGUUAAAGAUGAGAAACUGGCUCCCUUGGGUGAGGGGAGGCUUAAUAGGGUCUCUUGGGACAGGAUUAUAUCUCAAGUGGAUUUACUAGAGUUCAGCCUGGCCCAGGAAGUAUUUACCUGCUGUGUUUUUAUUACCUUUGGAUCAAAUAAGAGAAAUAUUCCAGACCCAGGGUGAAAUGAUCAGGCCAAGGAAAGUUGUAAUAGCUCUCAGCUUGGGUCUACUUUCACAAUAUCUACAUUUACCUUGUUUCUGUGAAAAGAAAGCAGGAUGGUAUAUACGGUUUUUACUCUAGAUAUUUUUAAGUAAAAUAAGGCACAGUGAGUUCAAAUAGGUUGCCCAGUGGUCUCAUCAUCUUUCGAAAAGAGAACUGGUCACAGAACCAUAACCUCUCCACUGGCCAGUGACAUAGUGCUUCUUUCAGUUCUUUUUUCAGGACCCCCUUGACAUCUGGUUUUAAGAUUUGUCAAAAUUGAACACCCAUUUUUUAUUUCUAAUAUUAAGUUGGUAAAUCUGUAAGCACAUCAGGGGUAGAAAAGAGGUCUUUUAGGUUUGGGAUGAAGAACAACAGAGAAUUCCUUUAUUAUAUAUAUAUGCCUUGUCUUUAAGUUUUUUCUUUUCUACCUUAUAACUUAAAGUUCCUUCCUUCCUUCCUUCCUUCCUUCCUUCCUUCCUUCCUUCCUUCCUUCCUUCCUUCCUUCCUUCCUUCCUUCCUUCCUUCUCUUAGACUCAAUACUGAAUAUUGGCUCCAAAGCAGAAGAACAAUAAGAGCUGGCAAUUUGGGGUUAAGUGGCUUGGCCAGGGUCACACAGCUAGGAAUGUUUGGGGCCAAUUUUGAACCCAAGACUUCUCAUCUCCAGGCAUGGCUCUCUUAUCCACUGAGCCACCUACUUGCCUCUAAGGUUUCUUAAAAAGGAUACAUUUUAGAGUGUCUAUGAACUUGGAUGGAAGGCAAAUUGCCGCUUUAUAUUCGCCAAACUUUGGUUUCUUUGGUUAUCCUAUGUAUUUUAUGCAUUGAAAAGCAUUGUGAGAAGAGGUCUAGAAACUUCAGCAGACUGCCAAAGGGGCUCAGAUCACCAACAAAAGGCUAAGAAUCAUUGACUUCAGGAAUCUUGACCCCUACAGUAUCUGUAGAUUCAUUUUUUCCCCUCUUUUCUGUCUUACUCUUGAUCUUUAUCUAUGAGAACAUACUGCCUUUAGUCUUUUCCUGCAUUUUUCCUCUGAGGUAAUAGAUAGAAGUAAAAGGCUUUGCAAAAUUUUAGAGUGCCAUGUAAAUGGCAGUAAUUUUUUGGACUUUCUUUUUCAUUUUUUAUGGAGUUUAGCAACAAAAAAGGCCUUAGGACAAGUUGCUAUCUUGCUGUUAUUCUUUCAUAUUGAAUAUUUUAUAAUUUAUUGCAUGGGGUGAUAAAAUGAUAGCUUUUUGCAGGGGAAUAAGAUCACUAAGAUGUAAGCUUAUCUUUACUUCUGUGGAUGAGUGAGAUACAGAAUGCAUUGCAUCCCCCUCUAGUACUACUUCCUACUCUCAGACACUCAAACUCACUUCCAACAUAUUUGAGAUAACCUCAGUACAGAUAGGACAAUGGGGAAGUUAGGUACCUUGACCUUUUCCAAAGCAGCUUUUACUUUUUCCUCCUUUUGGUCUCUAUAUUUUGAAAGCUUUUUAUUCGAUGUAGUUUGGAAAUUAGGCAUAUUUAACGUAAAAUAUUUAACAAAACAUUGUUAUUAAAAUUUUUUGGAUCAGUGCUAGGUUAAGGCAAUGGUGGAAUUGAUGUAAGAGAGUUGAUUUGACUUGUCCAAUUUAUUUAAGUAGCAAGUAGCUGGGGUAGGAUUUGAACUCAGACUUGCUGCUUGCAAAUCCAGUACUCUUUCCAUUGCUUUUCACUCUUCUUCUCUGUCCCUCUAUUUGGAACAUUGAUAUGAAGGCUUCUUGAUUAAGUGAUGUGCUCAAAAAUAUAUAAAUAGUAAGUAGCCACCUUGGGAUUUGAACUCAGGUCCUCUGGUUUAAAAUCCAUUUCUCUUCCCAUUGUAACAUACCAUCUUUCUUAUACUUAAGGAGAAAAGGAAAGGUCAGCCAAUCUCUUCUGCCUCCAAGCCAAGAAGGCUUAAAUGUGGCAAAAAAAAAAAAUUAGGGAACUUCAGGAAAAUAGAAAAUAAAAUUGACCUAUCCCUAACCUUUUUUUAAAGGAAAGAAGUCUAGCAUCAUUUUCCCCCCUUAAGGAAAUAUAUUUAUAGUGUUGUGCUGAAAUAACAAUGGCACUGAAUCCUCUGGUUUGUUUUUUUUUGUUUUGGCUUUUUUUUUUUUGCAUUUUGUUCAGUAGAAAACCCAGGAUGUAGUCAGAACAGCCAGUGAUCCACUCCAGGGUACAGAGUCAUGACAAAGCAAUCAGAAGCCUGAGAAGCUGGCCUUCGAGGCACUGAGCCCUGAAUAGGGAGACACCCAGUUGGGUAAUUAAAAAUCAGUUUCUAGAAUUUGAAAAACCAUAGCCACAUCAUAUGCAGCUACAAUGUUUUAAGUGACAGAAAUAGAUUUCUAAUUACUUGGCUGGGUGUUUCCUUGUCCAGGGUUCAGUAGCUCAACAUACGCAGACCCAUUCUCUGUCACUCAAUUGAUGUCUGUUAAUUCCAUUGCCCAGACCCUAGAAGAUAGGGUUUUUUUGUCCCCCACGAUCCCCACAAGCGACUUCCCUCAUGAUUUCUGUGCUCCCUUAUGACUUUGUCAAUGAAGCUCUUUAUAUGGGCAGCUGUUUGUUAUACUUUAUCAAUACUGGGCUUUGUAAACCAAGAAGCAUAAAUGCCCUGGUUGUGUAGUGGAGACAGUGUUGGACUUAGGGACUUGGGUUUGAAUCUGAAGUAAAAAAAAAAAAUUCUUAUGUGACUCAGUUUCCCCAUCUGUAAAAGUAGAGAACCAGAAAAGUAGAAAAUUUCCUCUCAAUUUGUGGUCAAACUUGAAAAUGUGUGGCAGGAAAUAAACCGGAAUUGGCAAAGGCAGACUGGACUGAACUGGCGGGUUUUUGAUUGUCUGAUUUCUAUUAUUUAUUCUACAAAAUCCUGGAAAGGCUUGUGGAAACCUUUGACCCUCACCCACAUGAUGUUUGACUCUCAGAAGUAGGACAAGAAAGAUAGACUUGACCAGAAUUUAAAAUGGGAAGAGGGAUUGUAUCAUUCUAUCUGAGUAACUUGAGCAAGAAAUCAAUUGAUCUAAUCUCGGUAUUGUACAUUUUUGAGGCCACUUUCAGUUCUUUCUUCAAUUCGUGUUCCCACUUUGUGAGCAGAGACUUCAAUGGCUAAUGGGUCCAAUGUAUGGAACUGAGCAGGUAAGAAUGUACUUGGAGAGGAAAGUCCUCUUGGGAAAAGGUACUGUGGACAACCGCAGUUCAGAGAAUCUGAACAUUUCAGAGUUGAAGAGGAUCUUGGUGGUUCUCUUUGUCCAAAUGACACCUGAAAAAAGACACUCUCUCCCCUUUACACACCAUAUACUCCAGCAAAUAAACAUUCAUUGUUAGCUUUCAGACCUCCAAUGAAGGAGAGAACCUAUUCCCUGCUGUAACAGCCCAUUCCCUUUUGGCCAGCUCUCAUAGAUAUAAAAUGAGCCUCCUUACACUGAGUCCGUCUUCUUUCCAGCACCUCCUGGUUUCUUCUCACUCUGCUUUCUGGUGCCAGGCAAGUCUACUCCAUCCGUAACUUUUCCAAAGCUAGAAGACAUAUAUUGGGGUACAGUGGGAAAAAGCAACUGGAUUUGAACUCAGAGGAUCUUGCUUUGAAUCUCUGCUUUUCUUAGAAUUAUGUGACCUUUCAGCUUUAAGAUCCUAUGAUCUUGGGCUCCCCCUAAGCCUUUUUCUCUCUAAAACCUGUUUCCUCAUCUGGAAAAUGAGAGAAGAUAGACAAGAUGAUUGUCAAAGUUCCUUCUAGAUCCAAAUCAAAUAUGAGCUAGCAUUUAUAUGGGAGUUUGAUAUUUAUAAAGCCCAAUUUACAGACAGUGUCUCAUUUGAUUUCAUCAUGAGGGAGGUGCUGUUAUUAUCCCCAUUUUACAGAUCAUGAAAUGAAGGCUGAGAGAGAUGCCUUGUCUAGGGUCAUACAGAUCCCAUAUUUUGGCAUUUGCAAACUUUCUUUUUCAGAGACAUUGUAAGGAAGGAAGGAAACAAGCAUUUAUUAAGUACCUACUAUAUACCAGGCACUGUACUAAUCAGAUUACAAAUAACAUCCCACUGAAUUCUUGCGGCAAUCUUGGAAGGAAGGUACUAUUAUUAUGCCCAUUUCGCAGUUGAGGAAAAUGAGGCAAGCAGAGGCUAAGUGACUUGCCCAGGAUUAUAUGGUUAGUGUCUGAGGUGGGAUUUGAACUCAGGUCUGUUAGACUAAUUCUAGACCUAGCACUCUGUCCCUGUGCCACUUGGCUGCCUCUAAAAGAGACCUCAUUGACUAAAUGGUCAUGGGUAGGGGGAGUCUAAUGGCUUUGAAGGAGAUCAGUGGAAAGCACGAUGUGACCAGCCUCAAGCAGGGACACUUAGCAACUGUAUGUGCAGUGACACCUGUUCAGUUUGAGAGGCUUCAGGUGGAAAGAUCAAGAAAAGGGUUUUUGGUUUUUUGUUUGUUUUGCUUUUUGAAAGGGAUCUGACUUCUUUACAUCCAAUGAGAAGACUUCUAGAGAAGAGAAGGAAGGGCUUUGUAUUAAUAUCUCAGCCAAAGGACAGCAUCUCUUCAACAGAAUUCAGAUGAUUAAGAUUAAAAAAAUAAAAUAAAAUGGCCAUUUGGUUAUGGGGGGGGGGGAGCUUUUCAGUGAUGUCUUAAUUCUUGUACUUGAGGUGCAUUUAUUGUUUUUUUAAUCAUAGGUUGUUGGUACCAAAUUAGCAUUUGUAGUAGUUUGGGGCAUUAGUAUUCAGGAAUAGUACUGUAUUCUCUUCUUCCCCCUACCACCCCCCCCCCCCCCCAAGAAGAAGAAAUGAAGGUAGUUUGUUAAACAGGCUUCAGAGCAACUGUGAAUCUCCCAAUUCUAAACAGGGGGAAAUCGUGUAGAAAUGUGGUGUUGUUUGAGUGAUUUCCUGACCAAAAGAUGGUCUGGCUGGGGAACUGAUAUUUUGUUUCUGGUGUGGUGAAGCUGAUAAUCCAGUUUUGAUGCUAAUGUGCCAGUCACCGCCCAGGCUGAAGGCUAAGCAGAAUUAUGGCCUCAUUAUCCAUGGCUCAGGGUGAGCCUAUAAGGUUUGGACCAUCUGUGCUCAGAGGCAGAGAAAGGAGGAGGGGAACGGAUGCUCUCUAGGCCCUCUUACCAAGUGACACGGGUCCCUCCUGACUCUCUUGUAGAAACACAGAAUGAUUUCCCCAUUUCAAUAAUAAACAGUUCAUUUAAAACGGUGAAUAUUAAUAUACAAAACUAAAUUUGCUUGGUGUCUUUAAUGAAAUUAAUUGAAAACUGAAUAAGUUGAACACAUUUAGUAUUGUAGCAUUACUGGAGCCUCUGCCUCUGUCAGGAUCAGAAUGCUUAUCCAUCAUUCUCAUUUGCUUUUCCUCAUAAGCUCGUGGUUAAGGUUAGCUCCAUCCUUCUGAUGCUUCAUCACCAUUCCCAGGUUUGUAUUGUUUCAUUUGGGUCUUUCCAGCUUUCUUUGGACUCCAUGUACAUACUGGUCUUAAUUGCACUAGAAUGUUUCAAUGGUUCACCUUCUUAUCGAGAGGAUUGCUCAGAGAAAGAGCAACAUGAAGUAGGAAAUACACAUCUACAUUAUAUUUGUGUAUCCAUAUUACAUGUCAGUAUAUAUGUGUAAAUAUUUGUGGGUGGAUAGAUGGAUGGAUAGAUAGAUAAAUGUAUAUUGAAAGAGAGAUAUGGAUGGAUAGAUGGAUAGACAGAUAGAGAUAGAGACAGAUGGAUAGACAGACAGAUAAAUAUAUAUGUAUAGAGGGAGAUGGAUGGAUAGAUGGAUAGACAGAUAAAUAGAGAGAGAGAUGGUUGGAUAGAUGGAUAGAUAGAUAAAUGUAUAUUGAAAGAGAGAUAUGGAUGGAUAGAUGGAUAGACAGAUAGAGAUAGAGACAGAUGGAUAGACAGACAGAUAAAUAUAUAUGUAUAGAGGGAGAUGGAUGGAUAGAUGGAUAGACAGAUAAAUAGAGAGAGAGAUGGUUGGAUAGAUGGAUAGAUAGAUAAAUGUAUAUUGAAAGAGAGAUAUGGAUGGAUAGAUGGAUAGACAGAUAGAGAUAGAGGCAGAUGGAUAGACAGACAGAUAAAUAUAUAUAUAGAGGGAGAUGGAUGGAUAGAUGGAUAGACAGAUAGAGAUAGAGACAGAUGGAUAGACAGACAGAUAAAUAUAUAUAUAGAGAGGGAGAUGGAUGGAUAGAUGGAUAGACAGAUAAAUAGAUGGUUGAUAGAUAGGUAGACAGAUAAAUAUAUAUUGAGAGAUAUGGAUAGAUAGAUGGAUAGACAGAUAAUAGAGAGGGAGAAAGAGGAGGGAGAGAGGAAGGGAGGGAUGGAUAGAUGGACAGACAGACAGAGAUGGAUGGAUGGGUGGAUAGAUAGGGAUGAAUAAAUGGGUAGACAUAAUAGAGAGGGAGAAAGAGAUGGACAGACAGGCAGAGAGAGAGGGAUGGAUGGAUGAAUGGAUGGAUAGAUAGAUAGAGACAGGUAGAGAGACAGAUAGAUAGGUAGACAGAGAGAUAUCCCCAACAUGCUGAGUUAAUUUUCUGUACACUAUGAGCAAGGCUUUCAGAAGAAAGGUUUUUAAUUCUCAGACUCUUUAAAACAAGACUUUAAAAGAAAAUAAGAUUUUUCAGAGUACACAUGCCUACUGAAGAAUAUCAACAGUGCUUCUUUGCAAGUUCUUGCUUGGCUGUAUAUGGUGGUUUGUAAAAGCCUAUUCCAGGUGGAAUAGGUGCCCUCUUGACCCAAAUACUAGGGAUUCCUGCAUUAUCUAUCUAUCAAAAGCAGAAAAGGCAAUGCUCUCUCUCUCUCUCUCUCUCUCUCUCUCUCUCUUUGUAUUUAAGCUUUAUGAUCUGUUUAAUUCGCAUUUCUGUGGCAUGGCCUCCAAUGGUGUCUUUAAAAAUCUUUUACUUGGAGUUUAUGACCAAGGGACUAUCUCAUUUUAUAUGCCUUUUAUAGGAUUUUAUAUGUCUGAAAAGUUUAUUCAGUGUUGGGCUCUAAUAGCUGAUGACUCCUAUAAGGAGAACCAGAGUUAGCUCACUGGACCAACCAUGGGAAGCCACUUCAGACUGAGGGUGGGGAGGUUUCCUGUUGUUAAAACAAAGCCAGGAGGCAUCCAGGGUGGUUGUUGAUAGUGGAGGAGUUUGUGUUUGGGUGUGAAUUGCGUUUCCUGCCCCUGCUAGGAGUCAGUGAUUUUUGAGCCUUGAAAACCCCUUUUCCUGCUAUCUACCAUUCCUUUUUCUUCCAUGCUCUCAAUCCAUUGGUUUUAGCCAGUUGACUUGCUAUCAUUUAAGAGCACGCAUAUAUACCAUGUCCUAUGGAGCAGGUGACUAAAAGGGUUUGAUAGACCAUGGAGAAGAGCUGGAAAGUCCAAUCUCCUCAUUUUACAGAUGAGGAAGCAGUCCUAGCAAAGUGAAGUGAUUUGCCCAGGGUCAUGUGGGUACUAAGUAGCAGAGGCAGGAUUUGAAUCUGGGCCCCUGAUUCCAAAUGUAAUGGAAUUCUCAUGAUACCAAGCAAGCCCGUAUAAUGAGUCUUAUCAUAAAUUAAAUGAUUUGGUGAAUGAAGCCCACUUUGGCACAGGAAAACUUGUCCCUGAGGACACUUCAAAGCUUUGUGGAUGGGGACUCAAUAAAAGGAUGCAUGGACAUAUCCUCAUGGUGGGAUCUUCUCAACUCAUUUUGCUCUAUUAAAGGCAAUUCGGUUGUCUUCCUGGUCACAUGGGAUGUCAGAGGCACCGUGGCAUUGGGGGUGGAGAGCUGACCCUGGAAUCAGGAAGGCAGGAGCAGAUCAUAGAAUCUCUCUUUACAACCAUAAGUCUGCAGGUUGUCUGAUUGAAAUUGGUGGAGGGAAUUUGGUUCCUGAGAGUUCCCCAUAGCAGUGAAAUGAUGGGAAAUGGAGAGAGGUGGGAGGUGGAAAUGUGCCAAAACAAGAAAGAAAAUAGCAUUUACUCCCAAGGAGCUUGUGAUCAAUGGAGGAAGAGGAGAUGAUGUUUAUAGCAUGUAUGGGGGGCAGCAGGGUGACCCAGUGGAUUGAGAUGGGAGGUCCUGAGUUCAAAUUCAUCUCAGACCCUUCCUAGCUGUGUAAGCCUGGGCAAGACACCUACCCCUCAUUGUCUCUCCAUUACCGCUCUUUUGUCUUGGAACAAAAAGAGAGUGUUGAUUCUAGAAGAUAUUUAAGACAAAUAAGUAGCAUAUCUACAGAUGAGUAGAUAGCAAGUGAAUACGAAAUUAAGCAUGGAAAUUCAAGGAGAGAACAUCAACAACUUGGGGAUCCGGACAGGCUUUUGUAGAGGCUGUUUACUUCCUUGGUGGAAGGAAACAGGUAAGAAUCACCCCCUGACUCUUUACUGUUAGACAUAACUGUCUUGCAAAUGCCUAAAAUUUGGCGCCCGAUGGAUCAUUCCUGGGAUCGGCAUCUGCUAAGUGCAUCAAGCAUGUGCAUACUCCUGUACCCAACUCAAAAUACUUGUACUGGCUUCGUAUUAAGUGAGGAAACUCAUUCUUACUAUCUGGAGGCUGGACAGACAGAGAAAGCGUAUAUAAUUCCAGGCGUCCCUUCCAGAUUCAUUCACAUGGCAGAAUAGCACCCCUCUGUAAAACAGGACUGACGAAAGCCUACCCUUUAGAGAGCCCUUUCUCAGCAAGGAACUGGGAGUGUUUAUCGACUGACUGAUAGAUGGUUCUGUCAUCUCUGAUUUCAUUUCACCUUCUAGCAGUCCUUUGAUGCCGAGGGAGGGAAGAGGAGUUUUACAGCUAUUUGAUCCAUAGAGAUGAGGGGACUUGGUCACGUUAGGGCUCUACUUCUACUUUAUUACAGUACUGAACAAGCACUGACCUUGGAAUCAGAAAAUCUGGGUCUGGGUUCAAGUUCUAGCAAUGACUUUGUGAUUCUGGAGCAGUCACCUUACCACUCUUAGCCUGUUAUUUCAUCUGUAAAAUGGACAUAAGAAGAUCUGCUUGGAGCUAGCUGGUGGAGUCGAAUGAGGCAAUUCAGGAAAAGUGUAAUGCAUGCUAUCACAGAUCAGCUAUGCAAAGCCUAGUGAUUAUUAUUAUUAUCCUUUUAAUCGAUUACCUUACCUGACUAAUUGCCUCAUUAAGUAGUAUCUAUUAAUCACCCCAAGAUAGAAUGGAGAGAGAGAGCUGGCUGACUCUGGGGACAGAAAGACUUCCGUUCCAGUUUUACCACUGACUUUGGCUGUGUGAUCCUGGGCAAGUCCAACGUUGUACGCUACAAGGGGCAGAAUGCCAGGCGGAGAGUCAGGAAGGCUCAUCUUGAGCUCAAAUCUGGCCUCAGACUCUUCCUAGCUGGGUGACUGGGCAAGUCACUCCAUCGUGGUCGCCAUACUCUUGUCGCUGUUCCUCUGAGAAUCAAUACAGGCAGAGGGUAAGAGUUUAAAGAAAAAAGAUUAUAAGCAACAAGAAAAUAAACCUGGCACGACCUUUAUGAGAUGGUGCAAAAGAAACAGGAGAACAGUUCUAUUGGUAUUCGAUAUUAAGUUGACAAUAAAUGUAAAAAAUCAGAAAAAAGAAUCUAAGAUUAAGCUUAACACGUUUUCAGGACCGUGAGGAGAUUGGAGGAGAUGAUCUCUCUUUAGCCCCUGCUAGUGCUAAAUCUCCUGAUCCCCUGAUCCCAGGGAGGGCAUUGCCCUUCAGGACAGAAUGUAAGCAAAGUGUAUAAUGAAGAAGAAAAUAGGCUAAAGAAGUGAACUCUUAGCAAGGUCUGCCCAGCUGAGGACUGUUAAGCACCGGGCUGAGUCAUUAAGGCAAGUUAGGAUACUCCUUCUGUAUCCCUUAGAACAGAACAAUCUUAUCGGGCAUGCAGGAUUAAAGGAGAUCUAGGGGAGCUUAUGACCAAACCUUUUUUCCCCCCUUAAUUUAAAAAGAAAUGCCUAUAUGGCAUGCUGGCCAGAGAGAUGGCCUUCAAAUCUGGAAGACUUGAAUUCAAGCCCUGCUUCUCACAUUGCUAUCCUGGUUUUGUGGCCAUGAGCAAGACCCUUAGCCUUGCAGUGCACCCUGGGCAAAUUUCUGAGACCAUAAUUCCCUUCUCUAUGUCAUUCUGCAUCAUUCUCUAUCCUGGCGAAACUUUGAAAACUUUGAAAAAAAUGAAGAUAAUCAAUUCAUUUUUUCUUCUCAAAUUUAGAUGCAAUCUAGUCACCUUUUGUCAUUUAAAUUUCAAAAGGUAAAUGUUUUGAGAACUUUAAGUACUCUGAUAAUUAACAAAUGCAAGGCAAUACCUUCAUUUUUAGAAUAAAAAUCGGCAAAGUGGUUUUUACAGUCUUCAUCUCUCAUUAUGUUGUAAGAUCAAAGGAUACAGAGCCAGAAGGGACUUGGGAACUCAAUUAGUCCACCCUUUCAUUUUAUUGAUGGGAAAAUUACAGCCACGGAAAUCAAGUGACUUGUCCAAGAUAACAUAAAAACUGAAAUAAUUAUUCCAUUAAGCCAGAUUUCCUCCUUAAAUUAAUCAACUACAGGAGGUACCUGGGUGGCUCAACGGAUUGAGAGCCAGGCCCAAAGAUGGGAGGUCCUGGGUUCAAAUGUGACCUCAGACACUUCCUAAUGACCCUGGGCAAGUCACUUAAUCCCCAAUGCUUAGCCUUUACUGCUCUUCUGCCUUAGAAUCAACACACAGUAUUGAUUCUAAGACAGAAGGUAAGAGUUUUUUAAAAGGAAGACAAACUCCAAAUUUUUUGUACCGACCUUUCUGUUAGCAACUAGAUAGUGAUCCCUGAGAGAUUGGGCUCUGACUGCAGAAAGGGAUCCCCACUGGAGUAAAGUGGAUACCAUUCAGACUAUUCCCUGGAAACUGAAGUUUCAGUAUUUUGGCCCCAUAAUGAGAAGCCAGGACUCAAUGGAAAAGUCCAGUGCUGGGGAAGAUCGAAGGCAAAAGGAGAAGGGAAUGGCAGAGAUGAGAUGGAUAGACAGUGUCGUAGAAAUAGUGAGCGUGAACUUGGACAGACUUUGAGAGGUAGCAGAGGACAGAAAGCCCCGGUGUGCUGUGGUCCAUGGUGUCAUGAAGACUGCCCAACAGAACAACUUUUUUUUUUUAACAACAAACAAACAAAAUUGUCAUAGAGUCAAUACUAAGAGCUGUUAAGGGUUAGGCAAUGAGGGUGAAGUGACUUGCCCAGAGUCCCAGAGCUAUGAAGUGUCUGAUGACAGAUUUGAACUCAGGCCUCUUUUCUCUAUCCACUGUGCCUCCCCCCCCCCCCCCAGUUUAUUUUUCAGAAUUUCAUUUGGAUCUUUCAAAUCUGUCCUUUCAGAAGUUUUAAUUGUAUCAAGAUUGACAGUGAAGUAGUGGAAAGACUACUGGAAUCAGAAACAUUAAGUCCUACAUUUGAAUGCUAUCUCUGUUCCUUCCUGCCUUAUCUGUAAACAAAGUUAGAAGAUACAGACUUACAUUGCAAGAAUAGUGCUUUGAAAUGUGAGAAGUUAGUUCCUCACAGCCUUGUGAUGUAGGUAGGGCAAAUGUUUUUCUACCCAUUUUACAGAGGAGUGCAGUGAGGCUCCCCGAGCUCUAGUUUGUCUUGGUCUUGAGCCAAAUCAUGUUGGAAGAGCUCUGAUGUAGAGAGUGUUUGAUCCCAGGGGCCUGGACCAGGAGGAGAUCCAUUUAGACUUGAGGUGAGAAAAACCUUCACAAUUGGAUUUGUCCAAAAGUGAAAUGUUAUAGUAAGGAUUCCUUUCAUGUGUGGGUUGAACUACAUGACACUCAAAUCCCCUCCACCUUUCAAAUUCUCUGAUUCUGUGACAUGAUGCCAAAGUGCCCGACUGCUCUCUGAGCCGGAAUCUCACCGAGCUUUGUUCCCCUGCUCUAAAAGUGGGGAUGACAAACUAGAGUUGUUUAACCUGGAAAAGAGGAGGCUCAGGAAGGGUGCGGGGUGGACCCUGGUGUGGAAAGAGCUCUGCAAGGUUCUCCUCAGCCCCUGCCGCAGAAGUAGGAGCCCUGGAUGAAGAGAGGCAGAUUAAGGCGAGCUCUGAGGAGGACUUUCCUAACAGAGCUGUCCAGAGAGGAAUAGGAUGUCUGGAGAGAGGGAGGCUUCUCCUUCCCAGAAGUUCAAGCAGUCUGGCUGGCUCGCCACUUUUUGAUGAAGAAGUAGAGGAGAUUCUUGGGCAAGUCUGGUUUGAACUAAAAUACAGAAGAGGAAACCAGGACACAAAGAGGGUAAAUGACUUGAUCAGGGUCUCACAGCUAUUAUAUUUCUGAGGUAGGAUUAGAACUCAGGUGUUUUCCUUACUUCAAGUUCCACAACCUAUCAAAGGGAUCCCCUAGCAGUAGCUGGAAACAAACUCAUGUGCCCACGCCUGCAACUGAUAGUUCAUUCAUGCCUCAAAAACCCAGAAGCCCUCUCUGAAAACUGAGGCUGGCUGGACUCAGAUUUGAAACAGGCAAAUUGUCAUUCCUCCUUAGACAACAAUGUAGCAAGCCAGUGAGGUUUAAAUCUGAACUAAGGAAGUUCCCAGAUGAACUUGCUACAUUAUUUCUCUUAUUCUUCAGCCUUAAUUUGACUUUUCCUCUUUUUCUCUUCCUGUGCCUCCAUUCUUAUCUUCCUGAUUUCUCUCCUGUAAAACACAAUGGACCCUUUGUUUACAUGCCUCAGGGAAACAGGCCACUGGACAAAUAUUUGUUUUACAAAUCUUAGCAAACUGGGAUGGGUGUUUAGAAGUAAUCCAAAGGAGGAAAUACUAGGUAAACUGACUUAAAAAAAUACAUACACAUAUAUAUGUGUGUGUGUGUGUGUGUGUGUGUGUGUGUGUGUGUGUGUGUGUGUGUGUGUGUGUGUGUGUGUAUAUGUGUGUGUGGUUGUACAAUACUGUUAUGUAGGUAUGCUAUAUAAAGCCCCCCCCUCCCAUUUCGGUCCAAACCUAUAAUUUCAUAGAUCCAGAGAACUCCCUCCAUCAAUGUCGCUUUUUAAUUCUGCUUCAAUUUAUUGUUUUUAGGGAGAUCAAGUGACACAGCUAGGGUGGCAUGGCCAGGAUGUGCCAAAGGCUGGAGGUGAACCCAGAUCUUAAUUCUGAAACUAGCUCUGCAUGCACUAUGCCAGGCCACUUCUUCAUAAAAACCUAGAGAACACGUACUCUUCAGUACUUUUCAGAAUAUAUUUAUUCUAUUCUAUAUUGUCUCUCUCUAUUCUAGUCUAUAGAAUAUAUAUUCUACAUUUAGAGUAUACUAAAAAGUGAGGGACAUAUACACACUAUACACACAUGUACACAUAUGUACAAUAUAUACAGACACCCAUAUGUGCACACGUAUACACAAAUGCAUGUAUACACACAUAUGUACAUACAUAUACAAAUAUGUGCACACACACAUAUAUAUACAUGUAUAUAUAUAUAUAUAUAUAUAUACUAGAAAGACUGUAAAGUAAUUGUUUGAGGAAAACAAGUCUGACUUUUUUUGCAUCUAUCAUGAAAUGAAAAAUUAGUCUUAAUAGGGGAAAGCAUUGCUCUUUGAAAAGGUUUAGCUGCAGAGUUUAAAAGGGUGCCACACUCUGUGAAACACCAGGAAUUGCAGAGGCAGUGUAGCAGAAAAGUCCAGAUUUAGAGGCAGAAUAGAUGGGUUAAACUCUCAUUUCAGAUAAUGACUAUGUUUUAGGAUCAAAUGCUAUAUGUAAAACAUUCUUUAAAACUCAAGGCAAUAUAUCAGUUGUCCCUUCCCUCUGGUGGUUACCUCCAAUUUAUCCUAAAGAUAGCUUGUUUGCAUAUCUUCUCCCCCAUUAGUCUGGUUGCUCCUUGAGAAGGGGAGGGAAGGUGUCUAUAGAAGUCAUUGUACAAAUUAUCUCCUGGCUACUUUCUCCUCUGGCCCCCCCCACCCCCCCAUCAUUUUUAAAAAACCUUUCCCUUUGGUCUUAGAAUCAAUACUGUGUAUUACACAAUGGGGGUUAAGUGACUUGCCCAUGGUCACACAGCUGGGAAGUGUCUGAGGUCAAAUUUGAACCCAGGACCUCCCUUCUGUAAGGCUUGAGUCUCAAUCCACUCAGCUUUUGACUCUGCUUUCUUCUUUUUGGUUAACACGAAUACCUUGACUUUGUAUUGCUUAACCUGGCUUCUUGUUAUGGCUCUCUUACCAGUUCAUCUCCAUGACUUUGGAAGCCCUCUCUGCGUCUAAGCUUCCUCCUGGGCAAAAUGAGGUGGGUUUUGACAAUGCUUACCAUCAAGGCAGUGUAAUGUAGUGGAAAGGCCACUAGUUCCAGUCAGAGGAUCUGCCACGGAAGCACAGCAUUUAUAUCCUAGGCAAGUCAAGUAAACUCUUUCAAUCUGUUGCCUGAGCAUUAAAAUGAGGAGGUUAAAUAGGAGUCCUCCUAGCCUUGUAUCCAUAAUAUCUUCUGUGUUCAUAUUCUAAGUUCUAAACAUGUUUUUCUAGUAACUGUUAUCUUCUAGAGCUUUAAGUUUGAUGAGGAGAAAGGUUACUAGAACCACCCCCAAGUUAUCAAGAGGAACCUCUUCUUCUUUGUCCCAGUUAUUGUCACCACCCCAGUCAUGUAGAUGUAGGUGUUCAGAUAUGAUGAAUCAUGGGAAUAAUAAAACAUGUAUUCAAAAGUUGAUGCUGAUUGAGCAAGGAGUUCUUGGGUUAGACUUAUGUGUCUAUAUUUUUAAUAAUUCACAUGAUUGACUUAACUUAAUUUUUAAAAAUUCACAUGAUUGAUGAUAGUAAUCAUCAUAGUGGUCUCCUCUCCCUCCUCCUCUUCCUCCUCCUCUUCAUCCAUUUCUGCCCCUCCUCCUCCUCUUCCUUUUCUCCACUUCCUCUUUGUCUCUUCUCACUCCCAACUCUUUCUUUUAUCAGGAUGCCUCAUAGUCUUGGUUGAGGCUGGGGCUGCAUUUUUGGAUGGUUGGACACUAGGAUAGUACAUGGGACUGUAUCUGGUUAGCACUAGCAGGGACCUUAGAAAUUACCUAGUUUAAAUUCCUCUCACAUAGGUAGCCAAAUUUUCUGAGGUUCUGAGGUGUUCCAUAGGGCUAUGUGGCCUUGGGUAAGGUGGAAGAGUGUUCAAUGCUUUCCACUUUUCUGGAAACCCACAAAACCUUCAUGAAUUAUUCACUAGAAGUCACCUGACAUUAAAGUGAAUUUGGUGAUGCAUUUGGUUCAUUCAGAGUCACCAGGAAGUAUUGUUCUUUGGAAGAAGAACUUGAUUAAGUAAUCACUUCUCACCUAGGUUAUUGCAACAUCUUUCUGAUCUCUGUGGGAUUACCACCAAAAUAAUUUUCAUUCAAUUAGAAAUCAACCAAGCAACUCCCCUAUUCACCUCCUGAGGCUUCCUGUGGUCUCCAGGAGUAGAAAUUCCUCUGUUUAGUUUUUAAAGCCCUCCCCAACCUGAUCCCAGGCUCUCUCCCAGAGCCAUUGGUCAUUGCUUCUCCUCCCACACUCUGCAGUCCAGCCCAGUGCAGCCUUCUCUCAGUUCCUUAUAUAUUAUGUUUCAUCUCCCUUGUCUCUUAAACUUGGUACUCACUGUUCCUUUGUGCCUGGAAUGCACUCCCUCCUUAUCUGUUUUCCUCUGAAAUGUAGCUCAGGCAACAUCUUCUGUAUCUGUAUGUAGCUGUUCUGGUUACCUCCAUCACUAGUAUCCUCCCUCCCCAAAUGCUCUAUGGUGAAUGAUUUUUACAGAAGGUAAAGGAAAGAAGCCUUGUGCUAAGUGCUUUACAAAUAUGACUUAUUCUUUUUAUAGUUAUAUAUACAAAUACUAUUUAUUAUCUGUAUAUUUGUCUUACACAUAUUUUAUAUUACUUGUCUCCCCCAUUAGAAAGUAAUUGUGCAUGGAGAUUGUCUCAUUCUUUUUCACUUGUACCCCCAGUGUUUAGCACAUGUGGCACAUAGUAUAUGCACAUAGACAUUUAACAAAUACUAGAUUGAUUGAACUGGAAUAUCUUUGCAACAUAUACGUAUGCUCAUUUCACUUUAAAAUUGAGAAAUAAUGUUUUCUUUCCUUAUCUCCAUCAGGCUUCUGUGGCUUCUUUUAAGUUCCAGCUAAAAUCUCAUCUUCUAGAUAAAGCCCAACCUUUCUUAAUUUUAAUGAUUUGAGGCAGCUUUUUUUUUUCCCACAGUGCCUGGCACCUAGUAAUUGCUUAAAAAAUGUUUAUUGGUUGAAUAAUUAGCUAGUCUUUCUUAUAUAAGUUACAGAUUGAUUGUGGGCAUUUUUGAGGGAGUGAGAGCUGGAAGGGCUCCUCAUAGGAUCCCAUAUUUUGAGCAGAAAGGGCUAUGUAGAGUUAGAUGGCUUGAAGACAGGCAUACACUUCAGAAACAAAGAAUGGUUGGUUCAGUUGUCUUCUGCCCUGGUCAGGCCACUUCCGGAGUAUUAUGUUUAGUUCUGGGUACAACUGUUCAGGAAAGACAUUAAUAAACUGGAAAGUGUUUGAGAAAGGCAGCUAGAAUGGUGAAGGAUCUUGGGAUCAGAUUGAAGGCCUGGCCAAAGAAACCUGAAUGUUCAUCUAGGGGAGGAGAAGACUUAGGAGAGGACUUGAUAGUGGUCUUCAAAGAUUGGAAGGACCACCUUGUGACAGGAUUAGAUUUGUUCUUUUUUGCUCCAAAGAUAGAAACAGGAGCUGGGGUUGAUAGGUGCAAAGAGGCAUCUUUAGGUUUGAUAUAAGGGGUGGAAAGCCUUCUUAACUAUUAGAACCAUUAAAGUGGUGUGGGCUGCCUCAAGAAUGGUGGCUCUGCUCUUCACCAUUAACUUUGGAAGCAAAAGUUGGAAGACUCCUACAGAUUCUGUACAGUCUAUACUUAUUCAGUAAUGUGUUAGAAUAAAAUAGCUCACCACCACCAUGAUCCCUUUCAGCUCUGUGAUUCUAAGUUCUUUGAGCGUUUUAUUCCUACAAAUUAUUCUGGAAAGGUGCUCCAUCUUCUGAUAUAGUUGCCUUUUCUUUGAAAUCUUUUUCACAACUUACCAUCCAAGGGAAAGCCAUUCCACAGACACCCAUUUCCCCAUUCCCCUCCAUUAGAUCUAGAACAAGGACUCUUAUUUUAGUUUUCAAUGAACUUGUUUUUUUAAAGUAUUUUUUACUAUAUUUAAAUACAAAUUGUUUUCUUUGCAAUCUUAUGUAUUUUAUUUUAUGCCUUUAAAAACAUUACUCAGAGAAGGGGUUCAUGGGCAUCACUAAACUGCCAAAGGAGACUAAGACUCACAUAAGAAGACCACAUUUUAGGGUCACAAUAUCCUGAUAUCGUGAAGUAAAUGGCACCCUGCUUGCAAUAACUGUAAGUUGAAACUUUUAGUUACAGAUGUCCAUCUUUUCUCUGCAUGAUAGGGAGGUCUGAGAGCAAGGCAGAUUGUGGAUUGAGGGAGUCAGUGGGAGGGACAGUCAAGGGUGAAUGAAUAUUGAACUAUCAAAUGGAGCUUGCCUAGAAAACAGCCUGUUCUCUUUGCUUUCUUGACUCUAGUUUAAAUAUCACUAACAUUAUAUUAGUUGGUGUUUUUUUUUUUGCAUGGACUGUGAACUGUGGGACAUUUGCUAUUUUUGGUGCUUAUUCUGUACACAAGACUUCCUGUUAUGCUGUGUUUGAGUAAAUCUGCGCACACAAAUAAAUUCUCCUGGGAAACACGUCUUACCUUUGGUUGUAAGAUCAGAGGGUAGGGACAGGGUCAGUUCAGUCAUUUUUUCCAAUACAGAACUCACAUUGAUGCUUAUGAGUAUAAAAUGUUUGACAGUCUUGGUAGUACAGUGGUAAUAAUAAUAACUGAUGUUGAUCUAGCCCUUUAAGCUUUAGAGAGUGUGGCGCCCUGGAAAGACUUGGACUUAGAGGUAGGAGGACCUGGAGACUAACCCCUAGAGGGUCUGUGGCCAGAGGCCAGUCCUUUAAUUCUUCUGAGCUUCAGUUUCCUCACUUGCAAAAAUGAUUCUAAUCAUGGCACCUACCUCAUGGGGUUGGUGUGAGGAUGAAAUGAGAUCAUGUAUGUACAUGGUUUUGCAAACUCUACAGCAAUAUAUAAAUAUGAGCUGUUCUGAUUACCUCAUGGGCUGUUUGUUGUUCAAGGAAUGGUUGAAUUAAGUUCUAAGAGGUUUAUCAUCUCAGUUGGUCACAGGAUAAUGAUUUGUUUGGCCACAAUAGCUCUCAAAGACAGUCAGCUAAAUUCUUAGGAUUUUGCUAUCUUCCAUCUAUGGAAAGAGUACCUGCCUCACCCUGAUGACACUGUGGACCUGGAGAGACUAAAUAACUUCCAGCAGCCCUGGACUACACAGGGCCCUCUAAUCUAGGCUAAACUGCAUGGAUUAAAGAGAGAAUUCUGGUAGAUUGUGAAGCUGCUGCUUUAUAACAGCUGGGGAACGUUGGAUGAUUGUGGAAAAGGGGAGAGGUGGGAGGGAAAAUUUGACUUUCCAUUCAGGUAGAGUUGGGGUUGACAAAACAGGAAAGAUCUUAGAUAGGAAUGAGACGUUGUGGCCUUCUUCACUAUCAACUGGGAAUCUUUGGCAUUGUUCUGGAAUGCAGACAGGUCAGCAGUGGGUAUCUUUUAUGACAUGGGCAGUUCAUUUGGUGAAGUCUUUGUACUGGAGAACUGAGCUCCAGGUCCCGCCUCUCCCACUGGCCCCACCUCUCUCAUUGGUCCCAUCUCUCUCAAGUCCCGCCUCCCCCACUGGCCCCGCCUCCCCCACUGGCCCCGCCUCUCAUUGGUCCCAUCUCUCAAGUCCCGCCUCCCCCACUGGCCCCGCCUCCCUCUGGGCUUGCACUGUUUUGUUCCUGGUGAUCAGAGUGGCAAGUUUCCUAAGUCACCAUUGUGUCGUGACUUAGUGUAGGGGAAGGGAAGGGAAGGGAAGGGAAGGAAAGGGGGAACUUGUUUCUCCGUGAAGUUUCUUUUGGCUUUGAGACAAAAGAAGACGAGCAGUGUGUUGGCUCUGUUCAGUCGUCAGGGAGCCAGUCGCCGAUCAGCUUAUUAACACAGAGAAAGGGAGACAGUUUCCAAUAAUUUGGUCAGUGAGAGACAGCAUUUAAAAAUCACUUAAAAGCAGAAAGGAAAAAGGAAAAAUAUAUCUCUUCCCACUCACCAGCCCACAGAACGACCCCUUGCAAGGGAGAUUACAAAAGAAAGAUUGAAACAAAAAACAAGAAACAAUGGACAAAACGAACCAACCCAUCAAGCCCAUCUGACAGGCUACACAAUAUUCCAUGCGCAGAGUUGUCCUGUUUCUGUAGUAAAAGGGAGGAAGGAGCAUUUCUCUUGGACCAAACGUGAUUAUUAGAAUUCUACAGCACUCAUUUUGGGCUUUCCUUUCCUUUAUUGAAAACACUUUGCAUAUUGCUCUUCUAGUUCAGUUUUGUUAUUCUGUAUCAGUUCAUGGUUGUACCAUGUUUCUCUAAAUUCUUCAGACCUCUUGGUUCUUUCAUGUGCCACAGCUGGCUCAGCACAUUCCCCAAGCAGCUGCCAUAGACUUUCUCAUUCUUUGCAAUGAAAUACUGGAUAUGUGGACACCUUUCUUUCUGUUUUUGGCUUCUUCCAAGGUAUCUAUCUACCUAGCAGUGAGACCAGAGAAUCAAAGGGUAGGAUCAUUUUAGACACCCAGAAGUCUAAUUCUCUUUUGCUUUCCAGUACAGCUGAACUGCUUCACAGCUCCACCAAUAAUGUAGUAGUGUUACUCCUUUUCUGCUACUCCUCAAACAUUGACUGUUUCUCUGUUUUGGGGUCAAUUUUCUGAGGGGUGAGGUAAAACCUCAGUUUGGUUUGCAUUUUAUAUAUAUAUAUUUUGCAUUUUUAAUUAAUUAUUUUUAAAACUCCAUACCUUCUUUCUUAGAAUCAAUACUAAGUAUUGGUUCUAAGGCAGAAGAGCAACAAGGGCUAGGCAAUGGGGGUUAAAGUGACUUGCCCAGGGUCCCACAUCUAAGAAGUGUCUGAAGUCACAUUUGAACCCAGGACCUGCCUUCUCUGGGCUUGGCUCUCAAUCCACUGAGCCACCCUGCUGCCCCCCCCCAUUUUUUGUAUUUUUAAAGAUUUGGAACAAUCAGUCAUAUAAACUCUAACCUAAUUUAUAAUUUCCCUGUGAGAAAUAUUUAUUUGUAUCCUUUGACAGCUUAUGCUUGCUAAAUGUGUUCAUUCUCUUUGUCUUAGAUAACAGACCCUUAUCAGAGACAUUUGAUAGUUGGUUUCUGCUUUUAGAAGGUGAAGACAUAAAUGCUAAUUUUGUUGAUCCUGUCUUUCAGUCAUGUCUGAUUCUUUAUGAUCCCAUUUGAACUUGGUACUGAUACUGGAGUGAUCUGCAGUAUCCUUCCUCAGCUCGUUUUACAGAGGAGCAAAAUGGGGCACACAGGGUUAAGUGACUUGCCCAGGGUCAAUACCUAGAAUAUGUAUGAGGCCAAUUUUAAACUCUUCUCUUCUGGACUCUAGGCCUAGUGCUCUAUCCACUGAAUUACCAGCUGCCCCAGCUGGUAGGGCUACCUUAUUUGUUUAGGAAUCCUUCCCCCUUUUUUCUUUAAAAUGUCUAUGAAGUUUGGAUCACUUGUAAUCUCCAUCCCUGCACACCAAGCUCUUGUUUAAUUUGAUGGAAUUUGAGCUGUGUUAGGGAGUAGCUGGGUAGCUCAGUGGAUUGAGAGCCAGACCUAGAGAAGAGAAGCUCUGGAUUCAAAUUUGGCCUCAGAUACUUCCUAGUUGUGUGACCCUGGACAAGUCACUUGAUCCCCAUUGCCUAGCCCUUACUACUCUUCUGCCUUAGAACCAAUACUUAGUAUUGCUUCUAAAGUAGAAGGUAAGGGAUUAAAAGAAAUAGGCCUCCUUUUCUCAACUUUUCUCAACUGUGAAGCUCCAUUUUCUUCAUAUAUAUUAAAUAAAACAACUUAUCACAACAAAAUGAAUUCAGAAACAGAUAUAAGCAUCCAGCUAUCUGGAUUAGGCCAGCCUUUGAAGAGAUUUACAAAAAUGUAUAAAGCAAUGCCAUUCUUCUCACUAAAUAUCUUUAUUUUGGAAAAUAUAGUUAUUUUUCUUAAUAUGUUAGAUAUGCUAAAAUACAAGGGGUUUAUUAUUUUUAAAUGAAUACAUUUAAAGAAUAUUUUUAUUGAAUCUUCUACAUUUUCCCAGUUACAUGUAAAAACAUUUUUACAUGAUUUUUAAAAAAUUUUGAGUAAUUUAUAUUUUUUAAAAGUAUCCAUUUUAAUUUUGAAUUUGACAGAUAUUGACAGAUAUAACCCACACAAACAAAAGCUCUUUUGGGGUUCCAAGUGGAUUAAGGGCUCCAGAGAUUUAAAAGCUUGAGAACUUUUGUUCUCAAAUGGGUUCAUUGUUUUUCUUCUGUUUACCUGGGCAACUUAUUGAAUUUUGGUUUUUAAGAUCCCUUGAGAUGGUGGUUUUCAUGUAGUUUUGUAGACUCACCUGUGCAGGGGCACCCAUUUGAAUCAUAGAUUUAGAGCUGGCAGGAGGCAAUCUAAGAUGCCACCCUUCUAGAUAAGAAGAAAUGGUUGAGAUGUUAUGUGACUUAUCCAAGAACAUACAAGCAGCAUGUAGCAGAAUUAAGAUUUGGACCCAGGUUUUAUUUUUUCCCAAAUUAUAUUCUUUUAAAUCCCAAAUAUGAUGCCUUUAACCUCUUAAUAUAUGUCAGUAUCAUAUAUGUCAGUAUGGAGAUGAUACUGUUCAGGUACAGACUAAGGUACUUUAUCAUCCACGGUGAUCUGAACUGUGAAAAAUCAGGAUCAUCCAAGGUGAUAAAGGGAGGAAAAAAUGCCAAUAGUUUAGUACCCAGAAACUUUAUAGGGAAGUUGGGCCCAUAAGUGACACAGAAUUAGGGGAUCAGCACAAGAAAUGACAUCUGUCUGAAGGGAAAAGAGAGACAUGUAGAGAUGUGUGUGUGUGCGCGCGCGUGUGUGAGUGAGAGAGACAGACAGACAGACAGAGAUAGAAUGUGAAAUAGAGAGGGAGAGAGACAGACAGAGAGAGAAGAGAGAGAGAGAGACAGACAGAGAGAAAGAGAGAGACAGAGAGAGAAGCAGAGACAGAGAGAGACAGACAGAGAGAGAAGAGAGAGAGACAGAGAGAGAGAGAGAGCGACAGAGAGAGAGAGAGAGUGACAGAGAGAGACAGAGCCAGAGAGAGAGACAGAGAGAGAGAGAGAGCGACAGAGAGAGACAGAGAGAGAGAGAGUGACAGAGAGAGAGUGACAGAGAGAGGGGAGGGGAGAGAGACAGAGACAGAGACAGAGCCAGAGAGAGAGACAGAGAGAGAGAGAGAGCGAGAGAGAGCGACAGAAAGAGAGACAGAGAGAGAGAGAGAGAGACAGAGAGCGAUAGAGAGAGGGCGACAGAAAGAGAGAGACAGAGAGAGAGAGAGAGAGAAGAGAGAGAGAGACAGAGAGAGAGAGAGAGAGAGCGACAGAGAGAGACAGACAGAGAGAGAAGAGAGACAGACAGAGAGAGAGAGAGAAAGAGAGGGGGGAGAGAGAGACAGAGACAGAGACAGAGAGCGACAGAGAGAGAGAGCGAUAGAAAGAGAGACAAAGAGAGAGACAGAGAGAGUGACAGAGAGAGAGACAGAGAGCGAUAGAGAGAGGGCGACAGAAAGAGAGAGACAGAGAGAGAGAGAGAAAAAGAGAGGGGGGGAAGAGACAGAGACAGAGAGCGACAGAAAGAGACAGAGAGA